rnacentral:lncRNA from 1 species
GAGUAGUUAAAAGAUAGAACGGUCUAGUCAAGCGCCAUGUCUCUUGUUCUUCGAUUAACUAUAGCUCUGAAGUUUUUGCAGAUUUUCAAAUAAAACUCAGAGAUUCCCUGUAUGACUCUCUCUAGUCUCUCUUUUGUGGUAUUCAUGGAUCCUUACCAAGGCAGUAAUGGUAUAUGCCUUCUCUCAAAGUAUGUGGAAUUUUUGGUAUGAGGCAUAGUGGCAUUGCCUUCUCUCUCACCCUACUCUAAUAAGGUUUUGAUAUCUGGAGCUCAUAGGUGGGAGACAGCUAAUACAUACUUACAAGACAUUUAUUGCAUAGUCAAACCAUAGAUCCAGAAGAACAAGUCAAUAAGUCAAAUCAAGAUGUGCAUGUGUGGCGAAUGAAUGGUGUAUGGUGAUGAUGGUGAUGACAAUGGUGAAAGUCUAAUUCUACUUGUGCUCUUUUGAGGGAUACAUACCUUUCUUGCUCUUUUGAAACUUUUUGAGGAGAAUGAGAUGCUCUAUAUUUUCUUUUUCUUUUCUCUCAUGUGAGUAUCUUGUACUCCUAAUUCUACUGUCGGACACUUGUCCAUUUUUACCUCUCGUCUCACCUUUUCUUUUCUUUCGAGGUUCCGGGCACUUGCCCUUUUUUAUUCCUCGUAUCUUCUCUUUUUUUAGAGUACUCACCUCUUUAAAUAAUGUAGCAAGUGGUAGUAACCGAAAUAUCUUGAGCAUUUAUUUCACAGAGGAAAACAGAAAUAGGAGAAUGUUUUUGGCUAUUCUCUCCCGGAUUAGGAGUAGAAUAUUUUUGGGUGGUUCUGGAGAUGAAAAUGGGUGGAUAUAUGUGGAUGCGUACUUCCGGAGUUGAAGCAGCAUGUGUGAGUGAACGUGCAAGUGAAUCUUGAUUUAACCACAUGACAAGCUCCUAAGGGUCUAUACAGCUUGACCACACUCAAUGCUCAUAAGCAGUAAAAAGUAAAUGAAUGGUUCAUAGUUUAAUAAGCAUGUAUAUAUGGCUGUGGUAGGAUUUCAAACUCUCAUCAUACAGGAACUCAUCAUGUGAUAUUUUAAAGAUUUUCAAAGAUAAAUUUCUCUAGAAUUCUAGCAUCUGUAGGAACAGAUAAACAACAGCUCAACCUUCCCAUAUCAUAUCCGUUAACAACUUAGACUUUAGAUCAAGUACACUUCCCACAAGUUCAGGUUUAGAGCAAAUCUUAAUUAAUAUCAGUCAUGCCUAAACUUGAGAGAGAUUUCAAUUUUGAGAACUAGUCAUGGCAGAGCAACUAUUCAUCAUUUCCAUAUGAGAGCUUAUCAGAGGGUUCAUAGCAAAUUUUAUUUAUUUAUUUAUUUAGCAAACUAAGCAAAGAUAUAUAUAUAUAUAUAAGCAUAAAAUCUUUAUUUGGGUUUUUAUAAUUAUGCAUCUUUUUAUUAUUUGAUUAAAGUAUAAACAUGAGUAGAACACUUAGCUGGAUAAAUGGGGGUGCUCUCCCCCAAGCUGGAUUUUGACGUAAUUUCUCCAGAUGUAGCUAGCAGGUGGCGGAGGUGUAUUUGAAUGUCGGCAGCACCCUAACAGCGAUUAGGAUGUCCUCCGUCUGCUAGUCUUCUAUGAUCCUUGAAUUCUGUGGAGCUCAAAUAGACAACAAAGCUUUAUGGAACUAGUUAAGUGUUAGCAUAAAUAUCUAGCCUUUAUCAUGUUGAGCCUCCUCAAUAAAUGUUACACUCUUUGGUAGGAUCAUAAAUUUAUUUAUAUUUUCAUUUUUAUAGCAAAUAAAUAUAUUUAUUUUAUUUUUAUGCCACCACAGUGAAUGUACUUAUGGGUUUUAUGCCAUGAGCAUACUCACAUGGGGCUUACUAUUGUUAACAUUUUUAUUUUCUUUUUCAGAUGAUAUGAGCCUGAUUAACUAAGCAAACUAUUUUAAAUAAUUGAAAGGAAAAGAUAACUACCAAGUUUAUCUCUUGGCAAGGCGUUCGGUGCUUUUAAGUCCUCCAAACGGGACUCUCCGUUUUCCCAGUCGUCCUAUGAUUCACUGGAUGGCGUAGUCGGUGGUUCCGGCAGCGCCUGCUCUUCAUGUAUAACUAUCUUCUCUCUACACACCUGACUCGGUGCUACGGUCUCCUCAGGACAGUUCUGUUCAAGUUGUAUGUCUUCAGACCUUACUACUCCUUCGUAGUCUACCCAUCCGUCCUUGAUGAUUUGCCUCCUCUGGUUGCAGUUGCGUCGUCUUCUUCUUGUCCUGACCUGCGUAGAGUCUUCAACUAUGUAGUUAGGGUCAGUAAAAUAGCGGCGUACCUUCUCAGAGGGGAAGUGCAUGUGGACUUCUCCGGUUCCAGUGUAGAUGAUUGCUUUAAUGAUGCGGAGGAACGGUCUCUCAAGGAUGAUGGGUGGAUCGUACUCGUCUUCUCCCAUGUCAAUAACCUGAAUGAUCGUCUAUUUUGACAGGGACAUUAGUUACUAUACCUUCCACCUUUCAGAAUGUCUGAUCUGCCAUCUGGAGCUGAAUGUAUGUCGAUUUUAGGGGCAUGGUUCCGAACAGGAGCUGAUAGGUGACUGCGGCCAUAUUUUGACGCCUAACCCGGUGUCGCAAAGCGUCUUCUGGAAGUUGUAUCCAUUAAUGGAGCACUGGAUGCUUGGCAUACCUGGGUCGUCCUUUUUGGUCAGGAACGGUGACUUAAGUCGACGAUCGUGACCUCCUUGAACUGCAGUGACCAUCUGAGCUGAAUCGGUCCACAUUUGCUUGUUCCUAUUCCUCCUGUUGGUCCUUUCCUUGGUUCAUGUCAGGAUUGCUCUGAGAUUUGUGUAGUCUUGUUCUUGAAGGAAAACGUCUCCUUCCUCCCCUUGAUGUAGAAACUAAUCUUGGCAGCACUAGCGUAGAUGACAGCUCCCGAGGUGUCAGGAAUGGCCUCCCUAGGAUGAUGGGUGCCCGCUCAUCACUAUCAGUCUCUAUCACCACGAAGUCUCCUGGAGCGUAUAAGGUACCAACUCGAACGUAGAGGUUCUUCAAAAUUCCCUUUGGGAAACAUAGUGUCCGAUCCUGGGCAUAAUGUUGACGCUGGAGUCAAAGUCGCAGAAUGCUUCUGGGAAGUCCACCAUGCCGAUGGAGGUCGGGAUGACGGGGUGUCCUGGAUCGCCUCUCUUGAUUUUGUUGAGGACGGUUGUAGUAGUUGUUGAACGGCGCCAGAAAGCUUGUUGGUGUAGUUUACGUCCUCAAGCAUCUCAGGGCAGUGAUUGCCUGAGUGUCCAAUAUCUCUAGUGUGUUUGUGCUCGUAGAUCUAGGUUCUUCACUUGGUGGAGUCUAGGAGUUGUAAAAGUCCUUCAUAUUUUGCUCGAAGUGUACAUGCUCAUAGAGACAAGACAGAGAUCAAGUGCAUGGGCCCUGUUGGUGGAAAACACCAAUAGAACCAAAAGUGUAUUUGUUCUUCUCUAACCUUGAGCAUAGUGAGCAAGACAAAGUUGAUGGAUAAUAAGAUCAUAAGUGUAGCAUUUAAAACAUUUGUCAGAUCAGAUCGCUCAACCUAAUGGAAAGAUAAUCUAUCUAUACUUAUGUUGUUUUUUUAUAUAUCUUCUAAAGAUUACGUGUGCAACAUUUUAGCUCAAAUGAUUAGGAGUGUGGGAUCACAAAGGUGGAAGGACUAAACAUAUUGAAUCAACUGGAUUGGUUAAUCUAGAGUUGUAAAUCAUACAUGUUUGUCUCUUUUAUUCAUGUGAAUGCCAGAACCAAGGAAAAGCUUAUAAAAGUGAUAGUCAAGUACCUUAAGAUGUUACCUUACUUGGAGAGUGAUGGUACAGUAUCACCUUGUGGACGCUUUCCUUUCUUAGCAGUUGUGCAUCGUGUUUGUGGCACCCUCCAUGGAUCAUCUCUUGUGAGCUAUGCCUUCCUUGUGUAAAUUGUUAACCUUCAUGCGUCUCUCUCUUUGUCUCCAAUGUGAGUUUAUCUCAGGACUUUCCAGGUCGAUAUUGAAAGUUUUCCUGCAGGGGUUAGUCCAACAAAAUAUCCAAUAUCUACUAUAGCAUACUAUCGGCUCAAAGAUCAACCUAGACACCAUGUCUAAUUUGAUUUAGGAGGGCAUUUUAACCUAUGCACCAUGCUUAAUUUAAAAUCUCUUGGAAGUAAGAUCAACAUUCCUAACUAAGCACCAUGUUUAAUUAAGAGAUAAAUGAAACUACUCUAAACCUAGACAUAUACUAAAGCAAAUAAAGGUAGCAUGAGAGCAUUUAUAGAGUUCUACUCAAGUGGAGAUAAAGUAGUGUGAUUAGUAUUUAACAAAUUGAGCAUGUCUCAAAGGUAGGGACAACCAACAUAGCAACAUAAUAAGGGAUGUUUUUAGGUAAAGUACUCCCUCAAGCUUGACUUUUGCAAAAUUCAAGUUUGAAUGAAUUUAAUUCAAUGUUGUAUGAUGAUUGGUUGGACAUACCUUGUGCUUGUCAUUCAUCCGAUCUUCUUGCUCCAAUCCUAGAAAGGUUAGUGACAAGAAUACCCGAAGGAAUUUUUUUACAAUUAUCCUUAUAUGCUCAACACACAAGGUAAUGUUGCAAAUAAUUAAAAGCUCUUGUUACGAUCUGAUUAGUGCUUAUUUUAGGACACUAAGCUUGUCCUUGGGAAACCAUCAAUUUAUGUCUGCAAAGUGGUUUCCCCUCCAACGCUGACCUAUAUCAAUAUGAACUCAACGAGAUCUGCAAAAUUUAUUAUAGACAUAUGCAUCGACAACCGCCCUUUUAAAGUUUUUAUAAAUAGAAAGGAAGAGGGGGUUGGAGAUCUCGAAUGUGGUGAUGUUGGAGAGACCAAUGGAUUAUGAAGAUAUUACAUAUGAGCAUGGAGUAAAUGAAGUGCCUAUGAAAUAAAUUCCAUGCUCAUUAAUGUUUGGAGUGAAAUCCAUGUGGUGUGGUGAAAAUGGUAAGGUGAAUGUGGUAAAAAAAGGAAAAGAAAAAGGAUACACGGACGACUUGGUUUGAAACUAGCAUAACUACCGUUCCUCGGCAACGGCGCCAGAAAGCUUGUUGGGUAUUUUAAACGCAAACGGAAAAAUCCGCAAGCGCACGGAUACCGAUGUAGCUUUCACCCGGGAGUAUUCCAGAGUAUCGAUUUUCCACAGGGGACGUGAGUGUACUAAUUAAGAUUCAAGAUCGCCCAAGGAUAACUAUAUAAUUAUUUUUGGUGGGAAGAGAGGAAGUUUCCUGAGAGUUCUCUAGUUGAUCUAAGAAUCAAGAAUUACUUCAAAGAUUAUUUAUUUUGGGACAUCAGAACACUAACCACAGAAAGAGAUGAGAAGGGGACUAGGAAGCUCUAACUACGGUCCUACAAACACCGAUCCGAACGAGGUGGAAUACGUUGACCGUUAGGGCUGUCACUACCCUAGGGCUACCACAACAAUUCGCAGGACUGGGUGCAAUUCGAGGUAAUUGCAAGACUAAACACCACGUCUAAUCUAUUAAUUACUACUCUAGCGUUAUAAAUACUAGAGCACUUGAUGCAAGUGGGAAUCCAAUAAAUAACUUGAAUGUAAAUAAAAGUAAUUAAAGAACUCAGGAAUUAUGAAUUGAAGAACCUGGAGAGCGAUGAAGAACGAACUAGUUGCUGCAAAAGUACAAUGUUGACGAAGAUCCGACAGACCCGGCUCCUCCUCCACUCUCCUCUUCUCUCUCCCUAUUUUCUAGAUUACAACUAGAAUUAACUAGAACUAGAACUAGAAGAACUAGAACUAGAACUAGAUGAACUAGAGAGAUCCUCUCUACUUGGAUGAAUAAUGGAAACCCUAUCUUUGAUUCUGUAGAAGAGGUAUGAUCUCCAGGGGCCAGGGGGCCUUGCUUAUAUAGUUUUUUCAGAUGAAUCUGGGCCGUCGGAUCAAACCGACAUUAAUCGCACGGUUUUCAUUGAUCCCUAAGGUCGGUGGAGCAUGAUCCGCGAAGUUGACCCUGAUUGGUCACCAAAGGGGGGGCGCCCUGGUCUCUAGGGCGGGCGCCCUAGGCCAGGCCCCGUUCUGCCUCCACUUCGUUCCCGUGGCUUCUGGAGUCUUCUAGAUGAUAGAAAAUUGCCGCACACAUUAAUAUCUCUAUGUAAACCCGACGUGUGGGCCUUUCCUCCGUAUUUCCUGAUAACCCCCUGCAGAAAUAGACAAACACCAAAACUCAUGCAAUUCUGUCAGAUAAAACCCUAAGUCCGGGUGUUGGUUGCAUUUGGAUCCUUUUCCAUGAUUAGUUGACGGUUAAAUGUGAGCAUUAAGGACCGUCAACAAGCCCCCAAAUCUCUUUUUUGGAUAAUGAAAUGGUAGGUAGCAACAAGAAACAAUGGAGCUUUAAUAAAUGGCAACGGAUAAACAAGUGGAAUAUUUUUUUUUUGAAGUUCACUCCUAGGGUUGGAGUAGAACAAUUUUGUGUGGAUCUAAAUGGCAUAAAGGUGGAUGCGUACUUCCGGUGUAGAAGUAGCAUAUGUGGGAGGAGUGUACGUGAUCUUGAUUCUAAAAUCAUGACUAGUUCCUAAGGGUCAACAAAGCUCGACUAAACUCAAUGCUCAUAAGAAGUAAAUAACAGUGAAGUGUUUUUCCUAAUCUACAAGGCAUGUAUAUUUAGCUAUGGUAGGAAUUCAAGCUCUCAUCAUAUAGGAACUCAUCAUGCAGCAUUUUUAUGUUUUUCAAAAGAUAAACACUCCAGAACUCUAGCAUCACUAUGAACAUGAUUAAUAGCAGCUCAAAACCUUUCCAUAUUAUAUUAGUCAACUACCUAGACUUAAGCUCAAGCAUUGCAAGCCACAAGUUUCAGGCUCAGAGUAACUUAAUCAAAACAGUUGUGUCUAAAACUUGGUACAGUUCGAGUUUAAAAGCUAGGUACUCAAAAUGUGUGGCAGAGUAACUAUUCAUCAUUUCUAUGCGAGUUAAACUUUGGUUUGGUAUAAGCAAAAUUAAUCCUUGUAUCUUCUCCUUUUUAUUUAUUUAUUAACAAUUCUAAAAUCACACAGAAAAAUAUGUAGGGAAAUAUUUAUUUGGUUUUUAAAUGUUUAUUCAUCUUUUUAUCUGUUUUCAUAAUCUAGGCAAAGGAACUUAAAAUUCAAAUUCAAAUUCAAGAAGGUGGUAGAAGUACUUAGCUAGAUACGCGGGUGUAUGCCCUCCCCCAAGCUGGAUGUUGGUGUGGUCUCUUGGUGUAGCAGACUGGUAGUGAAGAUACCUUCAAUGGUCGUCGGUCUUCCUAGUCCUUCAAAUUCUAUGGAGCUCAAAUAGACAACAAAUCUCGUGCAACUUGAUUAAGUGUUAGUGAUAAACCUCUAAGCCUUGAGUGUCUAGAACUUCACAUUUGAUUGAGCAUGUAUUAUCUAGGAUCUUAUCUUUUUGGUAUUUUAAGUGUUUUUAUAUUUUUAUGGAAUUUCAAAUUUAUAAUGCAAAAGGGAAAAUGCAACUAGAUUUUUUAAUUUUUUAUUUUUGUGCCACCACGGUGAGUAAUCUUUAUGGAUUGCCACAAGGAUAUUCACAUGGGGCUGAACACACAUUUUUUUUUUCUAAUGCAAAAAGAUGUUGAACUAUGUGAUGAUGAUUAUGCUAAAAUUAAAUAUGCUUCUAAGGGAAACUAAUGCAACAUUGAAAAUGGGAAACAUGGAUAACUACCAAAUUUACCUUUUGGUGAGGGUCUAUGUAACACCCCAGUGUUAUGGUUGCAUAAAUCAUAUGCAUAGCAUGAGCAUCAUCACUAUUCAAGCAUAUCAUGAUCAUCAUCUAUCUUGAGCCAUGUCAUUCCAUACAAAUAUGUGAUUUAAAUUGUUUAAGUAGUCUUCCUAUGCUUAUGCUUGAGUGAACCAUGCUUGUGUUUAUGCUCUAUGCCUUGGUACUUAGUUUAUCUAUGCUUAACUCAACCUUGGGAACAAUGUUCAUGUUGAUCACUUCUCCAAAAUAAUCACAUAAGUCAUACUUAGAAACCUCUUUUGCUUAGGCUUUUAAAAAGUGUUUCAUAAAAUGUUUGCAUGUCAAAACUUUCUACAGAAAAGUUGUAGCGAAUUUUAUAAGGAACAAAAGUUGUUUUAUAGCCAUCUCAUGAAAAUGAUCACAUCUAGCUCAAAAUUGACCCACAAGGCAGAUUUGGGGCUGUUUCCAACACUUAGAAAAUUUUUCUAAGUCCUGGAAUGAAAACAGUUUGCUCGAUCGGUUUUGAAAACUCUAUAUCUCUCAAUCCAGGCCGAUCUGGCUUUUGCUAUAGUUGACAAUGUUGUAGAACUCAAUUAGAACUCCAACUUUGUCAACUGCAUCAUCUUCUAACUCGAGCUGGUUUGGGAGUUAAUCGUUGCUGAAGUCGCUCUGUCAGUCGGUCAUCGUGUUCUCUGAAUCAGACGCGAGCUCGCUGACGUGGCCGACCGGCGACAGAGCAACGGCGACAUUUGGCGCCCGUACGCCACACCUGGCCCCGCUCGUCAGCUUCCAGCGUGCGCAUGUCCUCCACGGCGACGCCCCGAGCAGAGUGGACGCGUCCAUUUCCUCUCUGCCUCGCCUCUCUCGCCAGAAGCGUGCCCGCAGCGAGCUCACCGCCGCGAGCUCACUCCGGCGAGCUCGUGUGCGCUCCUCGCUGCAUCGCAGUCCACCAAACUCCACCCAUAGCUCCGUCGUGAGCCGCUCUCCACUCUCCACCCUCUAGCUCGCCGCGAAACCCACCGGUGAGCCGCCAUUUCCUUCUUCCCCCAAAUCGGGUCGCCGUGACCAUCUUUUCCGGUGAACUCGAUGCUGGGCUCUCGGAGCCUCCCAUCUCCUUUGGUUAGUAGCUUAGGUCCUUAGCUAGCGGCUGCACCUCUCGGUGGACGCUCUACCGCACCCACCGUCGCCGGACACGAUGCGCAGCGCCGCCGUGUUUCCGCCGGAGUUGGGGUCUUCCGUGGCCAGCAUGUUCCACGACGUUUCAAGCCAAGCCGCGUACCUAGGAAGCUUCGCCGUAGUCCGCUGGUGCUGUAGGAAACCCUAGGUCACGCUCUACCGGCCUGAGGGCUACGGUGUAACGCCGAGCACCUCCGCCGAGCCGCCAUGAUCGACGGCGAGCCAUUUCCGGUGGCUCCGCCAUGGGGAAAAGGGGGUCAAUCGAGUCGCUAGAGUAUGGGGAUCACAAUGGUGCCCUUGGUUUGACCGGAGACCUCGCCGUCGCGGAGAAAUCGCCGGCGAGAGUCGCCUCGGCGGUGAGGAAGAUGACCCUGACAUGCGGGGUCCACUGUCAGUGUCACCUCACUUCCCUCCUUUUCUUUUAUUCAAAUCCUGAUUUUUGGCUUUCUUACAAAAAUGAUAUCUCCAGUUUCUGAGAUCCAAAAAUUGUGAAACCAAUUUUGUGGUAUUCCUUGAGAUGGCUAGUUUUUAAUAAAAAUAUAAAAUGAACCAUGUUUUCUGAGAAAAAUAUUUAUUAGGAUUUAAUCUUGUUAUUCAUGAGUAAAUUCAUAUCCCUUGUUAUACUGCUUAUUUUGCUAUGAAAUUUUUAUGGUCGUCUCUGUGUGGUACUAGAAGGCUUUGAUAAAUAUUGCAUGAUUUUUGGAGUACUGCAGCUUUGAUAUGUAAUUUAUGUUUGAGAUUUGGCUUGUUUCCUUAAUUAAAUCAUAUAAAAUAAUUGGUGCUUAUGCUGGUGCUCUACUUUGGUGGUAAACAUGUUUAUGGUAUUCUUAAUAUGUAAAUAAUCUGAAAUCUGUUGUUUGGCACAAUGUAAGUCAUGUUUCUGAAUUUAUGAAAUACACACCUUGUCACAUAUUAAAUGCAUAUCUUUAAUUUGGUAUGUGCAAUUGCUUUGAAUUUUUUAUGGGAAUGUCACAAUGCUAUACACGUGCUUCUGUAAUUUUUGUAGAUUUUUCUGAGCACAUUUACUAGUAUCUUAUAAUUAAGUCCUUUUAUAGAAUUAAAUGGUUAAAUGCAUCAUUAUUAAAUAUAUAGGGGUUAACAUAUGUUGAUCUGGUAACCUUGUGAUAUGCUUGUGCUUAUAAGUCACGUGGUUGACACUGUUUAUGCUUUGGCUAUGUCUUUAAAUAAUUAAUUGGUGGGUUAAAGGCUGUUCUGGACAGCAAGGGAGUAAUUCAACUUUUACUUAUUGAUAUCUGAGUUUUCUGGGGAACUUGUCUAAAUUAAAGUUGUUGUAAACUUCAUGAGCUAGCUGUGGUUUAAAUUUGGGAUCAAUUAGUCCAGUAGUUUGAAAGUUAUGGCUGUUCCAAGUUGGGUUCUAGAAAUGGGUACUCUCUGUUUUUCUGGGACAGAAUCUGGAACUUUGUUUAAAUGGCUUGUUUAACUUAUGAAUCUUGCUGUGAUGUUUAAAGAUGAUUUGUAGAAAAUUUGAUGAGCUUUCCAGAAUGUCUUCACUCAUGUUUGUUGGAUCUGCCUAGCACUAGUUAUGACCUGUUUACUGAGCUAAUCCUGUUAUGUGAUGCUUGCUGUUCUAGUACUUGGUAGAUUCUGAUCAGUUAACUUACUACCUUGUGUGAACUGUUAUAACCGUUACUCUAUAAAUGCGUGUCCAGUGAGUUUAUUUAUGUGUCAAGCAUUCAUCCUCUUUUAUGCAUCAUCUUAUUAGUUGAGCAUGCAAUAGGUGCAUCGGACGCGACCGCUUACUUCGAGCUCCAAGCGAACCCCGAAGGCCAGGAGGGCAGCCAGGAGGUGGAGGUCCAGCCAGUCGGACUCGAGGAGCCCGAAGAAGAAGUUGAAUGCCCGAACCACGAGCCAGCCUCGUUCAUGAAAGGCAAGGCCCGGAGCAUCCUAAGUCUUCCUUUACUUUCAAAAGUUUACUUGAAUAUGUUAUAUUUAUUGAUGCAUUAAGUAUAGGAAUUGUGAUGAAACCUUUGCUGCACUUUACUCCAUCCUUGUCCAGAUAACUUACCCUACCCUGGUUGUAGAGUUAGGAUCGAGUAGCAGCUUAGCCAUGCUUAAUCGUUAGAAGUCGGGUGAUUUCCUGUCACCUACGCGAUAUAGGGUUGUGUCGGAUCACGAUGGACAAUAUGUGCUAUCGUGGGUGGAACUGGAUUAAUUUGACUUAAGCCGGGCGGAGUUUUGCAAGGUUGUAAUAACUCCGUCUGUGGCAGCUGAGGACCGACCGUUGUACGUCCUCUUCUCAUGUUGAACGCAUGCCUGACACUUAGUUGGCUGGAUAACUCGUUCCGACCGCGAAGCCGAGUAAUAUGACUCAGGCCGGAAGACCGGCAAGUAUAAAGUGCGCACUACCGGAGGAAGUGCGGUGUGCCGGGGACCAUUGGUGUAAGUCCAAAGGCAGGUGAGUUAAAAUUCCUGACCUCCCUGGCAGAGUGGUAGCCCUGGAAGUGCGGCGCUGAUCGGAGCCGCGAUUCCUGAGUCGUACCAAAGGUGACCCAUUGGCUCUCCGACGGAGGAUGCUUGGGUGAGUGCUAGGAAUACCCCUCCAGCUGGAUAGGAAUUCGAUUCGAAUCGCCGUCUCUCCCGGUCAGUGAGAACUUGACAGAGCAGCGGCAAACGUAGCAUUCACUAAUGAACUGGUUCAUGAUAAUGAUGAUAGCAAGGAAGAACAUAUGAAGAACUUGAUAUGGUUAUUAUUGCUUGUAAUAAUAAAGUGAAGUGCUUUAGUACAGGUGCUAAUCUAGUUGUGGCUGAUAUUGAAUAAAUAUGGGGCUCUCACAAUAACUUAGUUAUAAUGUAAGCUUUUGGCAAAUGUUGAGUCAACCAACUCCACUUGAUGUUAGCCUUGCAUGAUCCUUGGCGUCUUUUAUGUUUUUACUAGACAGGUAAGUCUAGCUGAGUACAUUCUCGUACUCAGGGUUAUUCCCACCUGUUGCAGAUGACAUCUUUUAUGACGGCUUCUGCAAGACCUGUCUCCAUCCCGCUGGGGAUGAGGACUAACCGUUGGGCAUGGUUCUCUAACAAACUCAUACCUACUGCUUUUGGAUGGAUGGCAUGAGACUCUGGCAAUAACAAGAACUUGUGAACUGAACUUUGAACAAGUGUGUGUAAUUAUUUUGCUUCCGCUACUUCAAACAUGUGUUGUAAUAACUUAAUAACUACGAUGUGGUGUCGCUUCGAUGGCAAUGAAUGACUAUGUAACAUUCGCUGUGUUGUGCUGAAUUAUUACGAUCUUGGUUUGUUGCAAGUUGGUUUGAAGUCCUUCGUGAUUUCGAUUGACUACCGGGAUUAUAUGGGCUCAAGUUUGGAAACUUGAUUGCUGGCCUAUCGUUUCUACACUUGAACUCUUAUAAUUUGGUCGGUUCUGUGACAGCUGGCAUCGGAGCAAGUUCAGCAUUAUAAAUGCAGUGGUUGUGUAUUUAAAAAUAAAACAAAAGAGUUUCUAAAUAAAAUGGUAAAACAAUACUUAAGUUAUGCCAGUGGUCGAAUCCUCCUUGUCCAUAUAAGGACUAUAGGUGGCUAUUUAAGUACUGACUUGGGGGGUUUUAUUUUUGCAUCUCUGGCAGUACUCAGGUAUGGAUGUGUGAUGACCACACUACGCUACCCUGUGGUCUAAUGGUGGAGGUAGCCUUCAUAUGUGAAUUAGCCACAUAUGUCGCUAGAUUUAAAUUAUGCAACGUCGCACCUAAGCUCUGGUAAGUGUGAGCUGUGAGAGCAUGAUCGUCCAAACGGCGGUCUAGGGGAGUGUUCGCGGUGGUCUUCUGGAGUGGUUACAUGUCAAAACCAUGGAACCACGAAAGAAACUUAAUUGGGGAGUAUUUAAUUUCUCGGGUAGCUGUGGUGUCAUUGUUUGUGCAUGUUGGACAUGUCCAAGCAAUGUACAUUUAGUUUACUGCUUUCUUGAGUGAUAUAUUAGGAACUGUUGGGCUGAAAAGAAGUUUUCUGCAAGUACUCUAACAGCGCACGUGUAAAUCGCUAGUUAUCGUAUCGAGAGACGAAUGUAUGCCACCGUAUAUCCGUUAGAAUAUUAAUUUUCUAAGUUUGUGAGGACGUACGGUUCGUGCAUGCAUCAUGUCGCAUUCAUACAUACAUUCUGUCUACUCCUUCCCUUACAAUGUCGUCCCUUUUAAUUAAAUAAAUGUUGCUUAAACUAAUCCUCUUUCACCCAUGGUAUUCCUACUCUUUUCCACAGAUGGACGCACCUGCUUCACCCCGUCGCAGUGACACUUUCUUGAGCGAGUUUGGCACUCCUACCUUGCUUGGAGAGUGCUACAGUCGGUAGGGUAUACUGAGCUACCUCAGUAUUCUUGAUGGGAGUUGGAUAUGACAGGAGAGUUGCAGUGGUUUGCUGUGCAGGGAGUUGUCCCUCCACAUGGGGGCAAGCCUGCAAGGACAGGGUGGACCUGUAGCUCAGACGGGUAGACUCCUUGGGAGGCAGCUCAGGUUGCAGCCCAGACUAUCCUACUCGAUAUCUGUCAGAGGUGUGGCGAUGAGCUGACAGGAGGACCAGCGGCCUCCAUUCCCCGUGCUGACCCAGCAGCAGCGGAGUGGAAACAGGCUGAUGGUUGUGCUUUGGUCCGAGGCAGGGGAGAGCGAGCUGAGAGUUCUAGUCCUGCUUUGAGUGCUAUGGUGGCUGUGCUCAAGCUGAUCAGUCAGCGAGAGGGCACCUAUGCACAGGUGAUGGUGGCUGUUCGCCAGGCUCAGGAGAUGCAACGGAAGGCUGAAAAGCGUGCUCGCAAGUUUCGCAAGCAAGCUAGAUUCCUGGAGCAAGCUCAGAAGGACCGCAAUGACUGGGAAGACAUUGCGGAGUACCGUAGGCAGCAGUGGGUGAAGGCCAUUAGGGAGAGAGAUCAUAAGCAGGAUCAGAUGAGUCAGUUGGCUCGAGAGAGGGAGACAGUGCAGGAGCACUUGGUGCAGAUCACUCGUGAGAGGGACACUGCACUCCGCGUGUCGGAGAACAGGCACCGGGCAUGGGAGAUGCACCGGAUUCAGUCUCUUGAGCGGGAGAACUAUCUGUAGGAUCAGAUUGAGGCUGAUCUUGUGGAGAUUCACCGUCUCAACAACUUGCUAGACCCUAUUCCUCGCCCUAUACCCGUGUAUCCAGAGGUGGGACCUCCGGUGAUUAUGGCCGAUGAUGAUGGUAUGGAGGUCGAUGGACCAGCAGCGGCUGCACCACCCUUGCACGAGGACGUGGAGGACGAGGAGCUUGAGCCAGUUAGCGACGAGGAUGGAGAGGCGAUCUUCGACGCUGACUCAGACGACGAGCCUGGAGUGUAGGGAGUAGUGGGUAGUGUUAUGUGAGGAUCUUCUGUAGUCUGGCAGCUAGCGGUGAUGCUUUUGUACCCAUGUUGUAAUCCGGAACUUUGACCUUGACUCAUGGCAUGUGCUGUGAUGGUGUAAUAACUUUAUGGACCCAAUGUGCAAUCUUAACAUGUUCGUUAUGUUAUGACGAUGUUUUUCGUUGUGGUGCAUAUUGUGGAUAUCUCUGUCAUGUGUUGGAUUGGUGAUGUUGUUUUGUGGAAUUGAAUUAUUGUGCCUUUUCUGUAAAGCUAUUCUCUCGAAUACUUUCAGGCAUUAAUAUAAGUUCUUCUGCGGCAAAUCUUGUCAUCAUCAAUGCUCACUGACUGUGUCUUUACAAAUGUCUCGUGGCACCCGAGGUGCGGAACAGCGUGCAAACAUGAAUCCACCCCCUCCUCCUCCACCACCAAAUCCAGCUGAGCUAAUGCAAAUGAUGGUGGAAAAUCAGAGGAUGCUCACUGAGACCAUCAAUCGGAUGGCGAAUCCGGGUGGUCGUAAUGCACAUGAAGGGCCAGCUCCUAACCAUUACAGUAGCUUCAAGGACUUCAUGGAUACAAAGCCCCCACCUUCCAGAGAAGCUGAAGAACCCCUUCAAGCUGAAGAAUGGCUGAACACGGUGGAACAAAAGAUCCGCUCAGAGUAUGCAGCUCAUCAACUGCAAGGUCCAGCAGGCAUCUGGUGGAAUCAGUAUCGAGAAGCUCUUCCAGCCGACACUGUGCUUGACUGGAAUAUUUUCCGUGAGGCUUUCAAGGGGCAUUUCAUUCCUCCUGGUGUCAUGGAGAUGAAGCAUACCGAGUUUAUGCAGUUGACUCAGGGCAACAAAACUAUGAAGGAGUAUUUGCAUGCUUUCAAUCAUUUGUCGAGAUACGCUCCUAAGUUUGUGAUCACUGAGGCGAAGAAGAUUGCUAGCUUCAAACAGGGUCUUGGCCCCAAGUUGCUGAAGACUAUGGGCCGCACUAAGUGUGCAACUUUCAAUGAGUUUGUCAGUGAUGCUCUUACCCAAGAGAACUAUAAUACUGUGUACACUGCGACCAAGACUCGCAAGAGGGCUUUUGAAGCCGGGGCAGGGGCAUCUCAGUCCAAGGCUCCAGUGGCAGCUAGACCACCGGUCCGUGCUCCAACCCCUAACCAGUGGUAUCGCCCACCUGUGAAGAAGAAUCAGGCAAAGACGGGUUUCCGCAAGGGUUACUCCAUUGCUCUUCCUAGGGGUAACACGGGUCCCAACUAUGCCAAGACUCCACCUGCCAACCGUCCGUGCUGGAACUGCAAUCAGACCGGGCAUUGGCAGAGCAACUGUCCUUACCCGCCAAAGAAGGUCAAUCAAGGGAACGUCCGUCAGGGGCGUGUUCACUACACCACUGUGGAAGCAAUCCCUGCUGGUGAGGUAGUUACGGCUGGUAAGUUUCUGGUUAACCAAUGUGAUGCACUUGUGCUUUUUGAUUCAGGAGCAUCGCAUUCUUUUGUGAGUUCCGAUUUUGUGUCUAAGCAUAAUCUCAAGGCAUUUACACUUGAUAAGGGCAGUUAUUGUAUUAGUGCUGCUGGAAAUGAUAUUUUCACCAAUCAAGUGGUUUUGGGGGCAACUCUGGAAAUAGGAGGCCGUCAGUUUCUUGCUGAUUUGGUUGUUCUACCCGGUGUGGGCAUAGAUGUAAUUCUGGGGAUGAAGUGGAUGAGUGGUAAUGGAGUUCUUAUUGACACCACAACUCGUGUAGUGAUGUUGAAAGACCCGAAUAGCAAGGAGGCAUUUCUAGUGCAACUCCCUCGUGAUAUUCAAAUCCGUAGCACUGUGAAUGCAGUUACGUCUAAGGCUAUUCAGGACAUUCCGGUGGUGUGUGAGUUCCCGGAUGUAUUUCGUGAUGAUUUGCCCGGGCUUCCUCCGGAUCGGGAUGUGGAGUUCAAAAUUGAAUUGAUUCCAGGUACCGCUCCUAUCUCUAGAAGACCUUAUAGAAUGCCACCCAAUGAGCUAGCUGAGCUUAAGACCCAGCUGAAUGAGUUGUUGAAGAAGGGUCUUAUCUGUCCUAGUUCUUCUCCAUGGGGUUGUCCGGCUAUCUUUGUGAAGAAGAAGGAUCAAUCUUUGCGCAUGUGUGUGGACUAUCGUCCCCUAAAUGCGGUGACCAUCAAGAAUAAAUACCUUCUUCCUCGCAUUGAUUUUUGUUUGAUCAGUUGUCUAAAGCCAAGGUAUUCUCCAAGAUUGAUUUGCGAUCUGGGUACCAUCAGAUCAAGAUCCGUCCUGAAGAUGUACCUAAGACAGCUUUCUCGACGAGGUAUGGGUUGUAUGAGUAUCUCGUCAUGUCCUUCAGUCUUACAAAUGCACCUGCUCAUUUCAUGUAUCUCAUGAAUUCAGUGUUCAUGCCCGAAUUGGACAAGUUUGUGGUAGUCUUCAUUGAUGAUAUCUUAAUAUAUUCUUGCAAUGAAGAGGAGCAUGCAGAGCAUCUGCGUAUAGUGUUGUCGCGUUUGCGUGAGCAUCAGCUUUAUGCCAAGUUCAGCAAAUGCGAGUUUUGGCUAAAGAAAGUACCUUUCUUGGGCCAUGUCUUAUCUGAAGAAGGCAUAUCAGUGGAUCCAGCUAAGGUGCAAGAAGUGCUGGAUUGGAAGGUUCCAAACUUCGGUACACGAGGUUCGGAGUUUUCUUGGUCUGGCUGGGUAUUAUCGUCGAUUCAUUCCGGAAUUUUCAAAAAUAUCCAAGCCUAUGACUCAUCUACUUCAGAAAGAUGAGAAGUUUGUGUGGACGUCUGAGUGCGAGGAGGCAUUCCACAAGUUGAGGACUUUGCUGACAUCAGCUCCUGUCCUAGCUCAACCUGAUAUCGAAAAGCCCUUCGAUGUCUUUUGUGACGCGUCAGGCAUUGGUCUAGGCUGUGUGUUGAUGCAAGAAGGUCGCGUUAUCGCGUAUGCCUCACGCCAACUUCGAAAGCAUGAGGUCAAUUACCCUACUCAUGACUUAGAAUUGGCAGCAGUUGUUCAUGCUUUGAAAAUCUGGAGGCACUAUUUUCUGGGUAAUCUGUGUAAUAUCUACACCGAUCAUAAGAGCCUCAAGUAUAUCUUCACUCAACCUGAACUGAACAUGCGGCAACGACGGUGGCUUGAGUUGAUUAAAGAUUACAAUCUACAAGUGCACUAUCAUCCGGGCAAGGCAAACGUGGUGGCGGAUGCUUUGAGUCAGAAAGCGCACUGCCGCUCUAUCCAAGUGGAAGAUCCGUUGUUGUCACAUCUUAUGCAUCCACUUGUGCUCAACCAGAUUUCUCUAGAGAGUACUCUUCGCAAUCGAGUCAUCGAAUUGCAGCAAACAGAUGUAGGCAUCCACCAUAUAAAGAGAAAAAUAAAGGAAGAAGAAAACAAGCAUUUCAGGGCCGAUGAGAACGGAAUUCUUUGGUUCAAGGAUCGACUAGUGGUCCCAAAAGACCGUGAGCUACGAAAUCGGAUCUUAUCUGAAGCUCAUUCAUCCAAAUUGUCUAUCCAUCCUGGUAGUAGCAAGAUGUAUCAGGAUCUGAAACCUUUGUUUUGGUGGACAAAGAUGAAAAAGGAGAUUGCUGCUUUUGUCACUCGUUGUGACAAUUGUUGUCGUGUGAAGGCCGUUCACAUGAAAUCUGGUUUGCUUCAACCCUUGUCAAUUCCUGGUUGGAAAUGGGAAGAAGUCAGCAUGGAUUUCAUCGUUGGACUCCCAACUUCUGUUAAGGGUUACGACUCUAUCUGGGUGAUUGUAGAUCGUUUGACCAAGGUUGCUUGUUUUAUUCUAGUUCGAACUGACUAUCGUCCACAUCAAUAUGCGGAGUUGUUUCGAACACAUUGUUUGUCAGUAUGGUGUGCCUCGAACUAUCAUAUCAGAUUGUGGACCACAGUUCACUGCUCGUUUUUGGGAAUGUCUGCAUGAGCAGAUUGGCACUCAUUUAGUCCGUAGCUCUGCUUAUCAUCCCCAAACAGCAGGUCAAACUGAAAGGGUCAACCAAAUCCUAGAAGAUAUGUUGAGGGCGUGUGCUCUUUCUUCUAAAGGUUCUUGGGUUAAGUGGUUGUCAUUAGCUGAGUUCUCUUAUAACAACAGUUAUCAGGAGAGUAUCAAGAUGGCUCCAUUUGAAGCCCUGUACGGUCGAAAGUGUCGAACCCCGUUGAAUUGGGUAGAAGCCAGAGAGCGAAGGUAUUAUGGCAUCGAUUUCAUGAACGAAGCAGAGCAACAAGUCCGUACCAUCCAGCAACAUCUGGAAGCUGCUCAAGCUCGUCAGAAAAGUUAUGCCGACAAAAGAAGGAAGCCGAUUGAGUUUUCAGUUGGUGACCAUGUGUAUAUCAAGGUGUCUUCGAUGAAGGGUGUACAAAGGUUCGGAGUCAAGCGAAAGCUUGCACCUCGUUAUGUGGGACCUUAUCGGAUUCUCGAAAGGAAAUGGAAUGUGGUGUACAAAGUUCAACUUCUAGUUGCGCUUCGAGCUAUUUUCCCUGUCUUCCACGUAUCACAGGUAAAGAAGUGCCUUCGUGUUCCGGAGGAAAGAGUGGAAGUUCGGGAUAUCAAGUUGAAGUCAGACUUGGUGUAUGAAGAAAAACCUGUAGCAGUUCUUGACCGCAGGGAACAGGUGACUCGUAAUUGUGUGGUUAAAUUCUACAAAGUGUUGUGGAGUAACCACGAGGAAGAAGAUGCCACUUGGGAAAUCGAGGAUUAUUUGAAAGAAGUUUACAAAACCUUCUUCGAAAAUCAGUAAGCUUUCAAAUCUCGGGACGAGAUUUUUGUAAGGGGGAGGGCUGUAACACCCCAGUGUUAUGGUUGCAUAAAUCAUAUGCAUAGCAUGAGCAUCAUCAUCUAUUCAAGCAUAUCAUGAUCAUCAUCUAUCUUGAGCCAUGUCAUUCCAUGCAAAUAUGUGAUUUAAAUUGUUUAAGUAGUCUUCCUAUGCUUAUGCUUGAGUGAACCAUGCUUGUGUUUAUGCUCUAUGCCUUGGUACUUAGUUUAUCUAUGCUUAACUCAACCUUGGGAAUAAUGUUCAUGUUGAUCACUUCUCCAAAAUAAUCACAUAAGUCAUACUUAUACAAAUAGGCUCUAGAAACCUCUUUUGCUUUGGCUUUUAAAAAGUGUUUCAUAAAAUGUUUGCAUGUCAAAACUUUCUACAGAAAAGUUGUAGCAAAUUUUAUAAGGAACAAAAGUUGUUUUAUAGCCAUCUCAUGAAAAUGAUCACAUCUAGCUCAAAAUUGACCCACAAGGCAGAUUUGGGGCUGUUUCCAACACUUAGGAAAUUUUUCAGUCCUGGAAUGAAAACAGUUUGCUCGAUCGGAUUUGAAAACUAUAUAUCUCUCAAUCCAGGCCGAUCUGGAUUUUGCUCUACUUGACAAUGUUGUAGAACUCGAUUGGAACUCCAACUUUGUCAACUGCAUCAUCUUCUAACUCGGGCUGGUUUGGGAGUUAUUCGUUGCUGAAGUCGCUCUAUCAGUCGGUCAUCGUGUUCUCUGAAUCAGACGCGAGCUCGCCGACGUGGCCGACCGGCGACAGAGCAACGGCGACAUUUGGUGCCCGUACGCCGCUCCUGGCCCCGCUCGUCAGCUUCCAGCGUGCGCAUGUCCUCCACGGCGACGCCCCGAGCGGAGUGGACGCGUCCAUUUCCUCUCUGCCUCGCCUCUCUCGCCAGAAGCGCGCCCGCAGCGAGCUCACCGCCGCGAGCUCACUCCGGCGAGCUCGUGUGCGCUCCUCGCUGCAUCGCAGUCCACCAAACUCCACCCGUAGCUCCGUCGUGAGCCGCUCUCCACUCUCCACCCUCUAGCUCGCCGCGAAACCCACCGGUGAGCCGCCAUUUCCUUCUUCCCCCAAAUCUGGUCGCCGUGACCAUCUUUUCCGGCGAACUCAAUGCUGGGCUCUCGGAGCCUCCCAUCUCCUUUGGUUAGGUUCUAGAGGUAGCUUAGGUCCUUAGCUAGCGGUUGCAACUCUUGGUGGACGCUCUACCACACCCACCGUCGCCGGACACGAUGCGCAGCACCGCCGUGUUUCCGCCGGAGUUGGGGUGUUCCGUGGCCAGCACGUUCCACGACGUUUCAAGCCAAGCCGCGUACCUAGGAAGCUUCGCCGUAGUCCGCUGGUGCUGUAGGAAACCCUAGGUCACGCUCUACCGGCCUGAGGGCUCCGGCGUAAUGCCGACACCUCCGCCGAGCCGCCAUGAUCGACGGCGAGCCAUUUCCGGUGGCUCCGCCGUGGGGAAAAGGGGGUCAAUCGAGUCGCUAGAGUCUGGGGAUCACAAUGGUACCCUUGGUUUGGCCGGAGACCUCGCCGUCGCGGAGAAUCGCUGGCGAGAGUCGCCUCGGCGGUGAGGAACAUGACCCUGACAUGCGGGGUCCACUGUUAGUGUCACCUCACUUCCCUCCUUUUCUUUUAUUCAAAUCCUGAUUUUUGGCUUUCUUACAAAAAUUAUAUCUCCUAUUUCUGAGAUCUAAAAAUUGUGAAACCAAUUUUGUGGUAUUCCUUGAUAUGGCUAGUUUUUAAUAAAAAUAUAAAAUGAACCAUGUUUUCUGAGAAAAAUAUUUAUUAGGAUUUAAUCUUGUUAUUCAUGAGUAAAUUCAUAUCUCUUGUUAUGCUGCUUAUUUUGCGAUGACAUUUUUAUGAUAGUCUCUGUGAGGUACUAGAAGGCUUUAAUAAAUAUUUCAUGAUUUUUGGAGUACUGCAGCUUUGAUAUGUAAUUUAUGUUUGAGAUUUGGCUUGUUUCCUUAAUUAAAUCAUAUAAAAUAAUUGGUGCUGAUGCUGGUGCUCUACUUUGGUGCUAAACUUGUUUAUGGUAUUCUUAAUAUGUAAAUAAUCUGAAAUCUGUUGUUUGGCACAAUGUAAAUCAUGUUUCUGAAUUUAUGAAAUACACACCUUGUCACAUAUUAAAUGCAUAUCUUUAAUUUGGUAUGUGCAGUUGCUUUGAAAUUUUUAUGGGAAUGUCACAAUGCUAUACAUGUGCUUCUGUAGUUUUUGUAGAUUUUUCUGAGCACAUUUGCUAGUAUCUUAUAAUUAAGUCCUUUUAUAGAAUUAAAUGGUUAAAUGCAUCAUUAUUAAAUAUAUAGGGGUUAACAUAUGUUGAUCUGGUAACCUUGUGAUAUGCUUGUGCUUAUAAGUCAUGUGGUUGACACUGUUUAUGCUUUGGCUAUGUCUUUAAAUAAUUAAUUGGUGGGUUAAAGGCUGUUCUGGACAGCAAGGGAGUAAUUCAACUUUUACUUAUUGAUAUCUGAGUUUUCUGGGGAACUUUUCUAAAUCAAAGUUGUUGUAAACUUCAUGAGCUAUCUGUGGUUUAAAUUUUGGAUCAAUUGGUCCAGUAGUUUGAAAGUUAUGGCUGUUCCAAGUUGGGUUCCAGAAAUGGGUACUCUCUGUUUUUCUGUGACAGAACAUGGAACUUUGUUUAAAUGGCUUAUUUAACUUAUGAAUCUUGCUGUGAUGUUUAAAGAUGAUUUCUAGACAAUUUCAUAAGCUUUCCAGAAUGUCUUCACUCAUGUUUGUUGGAUCUGCCUAGCACUAGUUAUGACCUGUUUACUGAGCUAAUCCUGUUAUGUGAUGCUUGCUGUUCUAGUACUUGGUAGAUUCUGAUCAGUUAACUUACUACCUUGUGUGAACUGUUAUAACCGUUACUCCGUAAAUGCGUGUCGAGUGAGUUUAUUUAUGUGUCAAGCAUUCAUUCUCUUUUAUGCAUCAUCUUAUUAGUUGAGCAUGCAAUAGGUGCAUCAGACGCGACCGCUUCCUUCGAGCUCCAAGCGAACCCCGAAGGCCAGGAGGGCAGCCAGGAGGUGGAGGUCCAGCCAGUCGGACUCGAGGAGCCCGAAAAAGAAGUUGAGUGCCCGAACCACGAGCCAGCCUCGUUCAUGAAAGGCAAGCCCCGGAGCAUCCUAAGUCUCCCUUUACUUUCAAAAGUUUACUUGAAUAUGUGAGUAGCAGCUUAGCCAUGCUUAAUCGGUAGAAGUCGGGUGAUUUCCUGUCACCUGCGCGAUAUAGGGUUGUGUCGGUUCACGAUGGACUAUAUGUGCUAUCGUGGGUGGAACCGGAUUAAUUUGACUUAAGCCGGGCGGAGUUUUGCAAGGUUGUAGUAACUCCGUCUGUGGCAGCUAAGGACCGACCGUUGUACGUCCUCUUGUCAUGUUGAACGCAUGCCUGACACUUAGUUGGCCGGAUAACUCGUUCCGACCGCGAAGCCGAGUAAUAUGACUCAGGCCGGAAGACCAGCAAGUAUAAAGUGCGCACUACCGGAGGAAGUGCGGUGUGCGGGGGACCAUUGGCGUAAGCCCAAAGGCAGGUGAGUUAAAAUUCCUGACCUCCCUGGCAAAGUGGUAGCCCUGGGAGUGCGGCGCAGAUCGGAGCCGCGAUUCCUGAGUCGUACCAAAGGUGACCCAUUGGCUCUCCGACGGGGGAUGCUUGGGUGAGUGCUAGGAAUACCCCUCCAGCUGGAUAGGAAUUCGAUUCGAAUCGCCGUCUCUCCCGGUCAGUGAGAACUUGACAGAGCAGCGGCAAAUGUAGCAUUCACUAAUGAACUUGGUUCAUGAUAAUGAUGAUAGCAAGGAAGAACAUAUGAUGAACUUGAUAUGGUUAUUAUUGCUUGUAAUAAUAAAGUGAAGUGCUUUAGUACAGGUGCUAAUCUAGUGGUAGGCUGAUAUUGAAUAAAUAUGGGGCUCUCACAAUAACUUAGUUAUAAUGUAAACUUUUGGCAAAUGUUGAGUCAACCAACUCCACUUGAUGUUAGCCUUGCAUGAUCCUUGGCGUCUUUUAUGUUUUUACUAGACGGGUAAGUCUAGCUGAGUACAUUCUCGUACUCAGGGUUAUUCCCACCUGUUGCAGAUGACAUCUUUUAUGACGGCUUCUGCAAGACCUGUCUCCAUCCCGCUGGGGAUGAGGACUAACCGUUGGGCACGGUUCUCUAACAAACUCAUACCUGCUGCUUUUGGAUGGAUGGCAUGAGACUCUGGCAAUAACAAGAACUUGUGAACUGAACUUUGAACAAGUGUGUGUAAUUAUUUUGCUUCCGCUACUUCGAACAUGUGUUGUAAUAACUUAAUAACUCCGAUGUGGUGUCGCUUCGACGGCAAUGAAUGACUAUGUAACAUUCGCUGUGUUGUGCUGAAUUAUUACGAUCUUGGUUUGUUGCAAGUUGGUUUGAAGUCCUUCGUGAUUUCGAUUGACUACCAGGAUUAUAUGGGCUCAAGUUUGGAAACUUGAUUGCUAGCCGAUCGUUUCUACACUUGAACUCUUAUAUUUUGGUCGGUUCUGUGACAGUCUAGUGUUUUGAGUCCACCGAACAAGACAUCUCCUUUCGCUGAGUUUUCUUUGAUCACUCUGGAUGGCUUCUCCGGAGACUCCAAUUACUCUUCUUCCUGUGUUGGUGAGUCAGAAGUAAUUACAGCUUUUUGAACCCAUACCUUAUUGGUUGGCGAGGUGGACUUCGAUGGGGGAGCUACGUAUUUAAUGAUGUCAUCAUUCACUUCUUCUAUGGCGUCCUUCUCUAGGAAUAGUUCUUCAUGUCUUGUCACCUCUCCUUCAUAGUCAACCCAUCUAUCCUUCAGGAUUUGUUUCUUUUGGCAUUAAGAACGAUGCCUCCUUCUUGACCUGUUCUUCUAGGGUUCUUCACUAACUUCAUAGUUAGUAAAAUAUCAGCGUACCUUCUGUGAUGGGAAUUGGAAGUGGACUUCUUCGGUCCCGAUGUAGAUGAUUGCUUGAGUAGUGUUGAGGAACGGUCUUCCAAGGAUGAUUUCUGGAUCAUGAUCUUCUUCUCCCGUGUCCAAGACUAGGAAGUCGGUAGAGCUGAAGUGUUCAUCGAUUUGUACUGGUACGUCCUUGGCAAUACCUUCCAGGAAUUGGUAGGUCUAGUCCGCCAUCUAUAGUUGCACAAAGGUCAAAUACAACGACAUCUUUCCAUAUAGAAAUUCAUAGGUUACCUUAGCCAUGAUGUUGACUUUGGCUCCAAUGCUACAAACUGCCUUCUAGAAGGAGCAUCUAUUUAUGGUGCAUUCAAUGGUUGCUGCACAAGGGUCUUCCCUUUUGAUCAAGUAGGGAGAUGCGAGGAGAUGGUCAUGGUCUUUGUCAAUGGUUGUGACCAUCCUCACUAACUCAACCUUUGGUUGUCGGUUCAUGUUCCUUCGAUUCUUCUUCUUUAUCUCAGCUCCACCAUAGUUCUGAAGAUCGUACAGCGUCUAGGGAUGUGCAAGAUCUUUGAGUGUACACUUUUGGAAGGUGAAUGUCUCCCCCCUUGAUGUUGAAGCUGAUCUUUGCAUUGUCGACGUAGAUGAUGACCUUGGUGGUGCACAAGAAUGGGCAACCCAAGAUGAUGGGUGCUCUCUCGUCACCUCCGGUCUCUAUUACCGUGAAGUCUGCAGGGACUUAUGAUUGGCCAACUCGGACGCAAACAUCUUCAAGGAUUCCUUUUGGGUAGCACAGCAUCUGGUCUUCCAUCUGCAAGCACAUGAUUGUAUACAAAAAUGGAUCUCCAUGAAUUUUCUCAUAUAGUACCUUAGGCAUGAUGUUGAUGCUUGCACCAAAGUCACAAAGGACUUCCGGGAAGUGGUUGCCUCCAGUGUUGAUGGGGAUGACCAGCCUUCUUGGACCACCUUUCUUCUCGGGCAAGGACUCAUCUGUCCAUCGUCCAGUGGAUAUGCAUUGUAUAUAUCAAUAAGAUUUGCAUAUUCUAAUUCUUCUAGUUGCCCCGAAAUCUUUCCUUGGUUAGCAGCAGGAACAACAGUUAUCAAUUGAGAUAUUUCAGAUUCAAUCAUUUUAUUAAAGCUAUGUUGAUUCUUAAUUGCUGUUGAAAAGUUAUCCAUCCUAGCAUUUAUGGUUUCUAAAGUUUUAUCACCGGAUGCAAUUUUCUUAGAUGGAUUAUCCAUGAGUUUUCCUUGAUUCACAACUAACUCUCUCAAAGGUGGUUGAUUGAAAUUAUUGCUGAAGUUGUUACCUUGGUAGUUACCUAAGGAGUAGUUGGUUGAGUAGUUAGGCCUCUGUUGAUUCUAGCCUUGAUCCUACACAACUAGUAAGAAAAAGCACAAAGCUCCUAAGCUCACUAGCAAUGCUCGAUAACAAGGCAACCAAUACCAAAUUAGAGAGCGCAAAAUACUUAGCUACACAAACUAAGCAAUGUGACUAACAAGGUUACACAAACCAAAUUAGUCACGCAAAGGAACUACUUCUAGCUACACAAGCAAGAAUGUAACUAGAAAGCUACACAAGCUAACAAAUUACAAGAGCAACUACACAAGCACAAUUAUAUGAAUGUAAGAACAAGCUUGUGUUAGGGACUUGCAAACAACCGGGAAGAACAAAUGUUGACACGAUGAUUUUCUCCCGAGGUUCACUUGGUUGCCACCAAGCUACGUCCCCGUUGAGACAAGCUCCAAGGUUGCCGCCGGUCCUCUUACUAGUGGUGACCCACAAGUCACACUCUCCCACGUGGAGUGCUUACCACAAGCUCUAGCACUUGACCCAGCCGGACCACUUGUCGCUCUUCACAUCUCGCUCAAUUAGAGUUGCUCUUCGCGAUCCCCACGGGAUGAGCACCGUACCCCUCACAAUCUCUUCUCCGGAGCACCGCACAAUCUCCUUGCGUGCUUCGACGGAGUCACAAGCCACCAAGCCGUCUAGGAGGUGGCAACCUCCAAGAGUAACAAGCACCACCGGCUUGCAACACGAACACCUAGUGCCACUCGAUGCAAUCUCUCAAUGCAACGCACAAGAAUCGCUCACUCACACAAUCGGAUGAUCAAUAUCAAGCAUAAGUGAGUUAGAGGCUUCACUAGCACUCCCCAAGCAUGGACACUAAGUCCCAAGGGUGCUCAGCACCAGCCAAGGCCGGCCACCACUUCUAUUUAUAGCCCCAAGGGCUAAACUAGCCUUUGCCCCAUCACUGGGAAAAAUACGUGGGCACCGGACGCUCAGAGGGAGCCACCGGACGCUCAACACCCAGCAUCCGGUGCUCAGCUGACCGCCACGUGUCACUAGCCAUUUGAACUCGACAGUUGCCGCCAACGGCUACUGCGCACGCGUGCCUGCACAGCACCACCGGACGCUCUACUGCGUCACACCGGACGCGUCCGGUGCACACCGGACUCGUGCGCAGAGAGCUCCGCAAAGUCGCAUGGUCACCGGACGCAAGCCACCGGACGCACCCUAAGCGUCCGGUGCUCACCGGACUCAUGCGCAGAGAGGGUCGCCAAACGGCCUGCACACCGGACGCUGAGCACCGGACUCUCUCCGGUGCGUCCGGUGCACUCUGCUGCACCCGACAGCACACCGGACGCUAAAGGCCAGCGUCCGGUGCCUCCGCGCAGAGCGUCCGGUGAGUGUUUCCUAAUGAGAAACACUCCCGCGACUUCUCCAAAAUUUCCCACCGGCGCAAUAGAAAAUAUGCACUUAAUUUUCUCAAAAGCGCCGAAUCCCGCCUCGCAAGCUCGGCGGGAGGGAGAGAGGAACCCACACCCCUCUCAACCCUAGGAAAAACACCUCCUUUGCAAAUGUGUGCCAACACCACCAAGUGUACACCACCAUGUGCAUGUGUGUUAGCAUUUUCACAAACAUUUUUCCCAAAGGAGUUAGCCUCUCAACUAACCACGCCACUCGAUCCUAACACGUAUGCAAUGUUAGAUCGCUCAAGUGGCACUAGAAGACCGAUAUGCAAACAAGUUUGUCCCUCUUGAAAGUACGGCCAUCUAUCCUAAAUCCGGUCAUAAACUUCAAAUUUAACUAUCAAAUAGCUGGGGAUAUCCCCUGACUUAGGGUUUUAUCUGACAGAAUUCCAUGAGUUUUGGUGUUUGUCUAUUUCUGCAUGGGGUUAUCAGGAAAUAAGGAAGAAAGGCCCACACGUCGGGAUUACAUCGAGAUAUCAACAUGCCGCGCAAUUAUCUUACAUCUAGAAGACUCCAGAAGCCACGGGAAGGAAGCGGAGACCGAACGGAGUCAGGGACAGGGCGCCCGCCCAAGUCCUUAGGGCGCCCGCCCACCUUUUUCGGCCAAUCACGCUCAAUCUCGCGGAUUGUGCUCCACCGACCUAAAGGAUCAAGAAUAACCGUUCAAUCAAUGUCGGUUUGUUCCGACGGCCCAGGUUCACUUGAGGGGACUAUAAAACCAGACCCCCUGGCCCCUGGAGGAGGCACCCCCUUGAUCAUUAUUCAUUAUUCAUAGACAGAGCAAAAUCUAGGGUUUAGAGAUGAGAGCUCUCCUCUCUUCUCUAAACUAGAGUAGAUCUAGAUAGUAGCGAGAUGGAGAGCGAAGGAGGAUUAGAGGAGAGGACGGCCUGUCGGUUCUUCCUCCGGUUGUACUUCGCCAUGAUCAAGCUCUAAUCAAGCUUGCUCAUGGGAUGACUCUAGUAAUCUACUUCUAAUUCAUUAUGCAAUUACUAAUCAUGUAUGUUCUGGUUCACAACUCUUUUGAGUACUUCUAAUCUAUAGGACCCUAUAGGUUAGAGUUGUAGUAUAGGUGUAAGCGUGGUGCUUAGACCUAGAUUACCUGUGGAUAUCCCCUGACUAGCUGGAUCGUGUGGUAGGCCGCGUAGGUGACAGUUACGUUGGUCCCCUGUAGUCCACCUCUCGUUAGCAGGACGGGUAGGGUUUAUUGGCCUAUGGAUAAGCAUCCUUUGUGGUGUACUCUUAUCACGUGGUUUGUCCCAGACAUAGACAUACCCCUUUGAAGUAGAGAAACCAUAGUUAUCCUCUCUAUUCUGCUACCAUCGCCCAUAUACUAGAAUUGCUCUACUCUCUAUUCCCAUAUUAUCACUCACUGUUAUCUUACCUUUAAUAUUGUUCUUAUUUGAUUCUACCAUCUUUCCUAUUCACACCUAUUUACUUAUCUUGGUUAAGUUAGAGCGUAGAUCAGUUCUCCCGUUUCCCUGUGGAUACGAUAAAACCUUUAACCGGGUAAAAGCUUCAACGGUAUCCGUGCGCUUGCGGAUUAUCUGUGUGCGUAUAAAUACCAUAGUACACUCUAGUGCCACGCUGGGGAUGACAACCUAGUAUUCAAGUGGUGUUAGCAAGUGUCAACAAGCAUUUUUGGCGCCGUUGCCGGGGAAACGGUUGCUGAGUUGACUACGAACUAGUUUAAUCAUUUUAUAAAAAAAUAAAUAAAUAAAUAAAAAUAUUUUCCUUUUAUCCUUUGCCUCAUCUCUGCUAUUCUUUCUUCUUAUCUAAUCCUUGAUCUCUGGUCUAUUAUGAAUUCAAACAUGUCUAUCUAUGAAUUUCAUAGACCUAUGGGCACACAUCUCGAACCACCAAAAUCUUCAAAGCCUAUCAUAGCAUCUAGUUUUGAGAUAGACCCCGAAUACAUAGAAUUUAUUCAAAAAAAACCUUUCUCAGGAAAAGGUGAGGAAAACCCAUACACACACCUAAGAGAGUUUUAUCGAGUCUGUGACCUCCUUCGCAUAGAAGGAAUGUCCGAUGAGACCCUUAAAUGGAAGCUCUUUCUGUUCUCUUUAACGGGAAAAGCUAGACAUUGGUAUAAACUCAAAGUAAGGAGUGUUCAUGGAGAUUGGAAGGAGUUAUAUAGUAGUUUUCUUUCUAAAUAUUUUCCAAUCUCCAAAGUGGUGGAACUUCGGCGUGAGAUUCUUUCUUUUAGACAACUGGAAGAAGAAUCUCUUGGCAAAUCAUGGGACCGCUUUAUUAACCUUACUCUCAUUGGCCCAAAACUUUCUAUUCCAGAAGAAGUUCUUCUAAUUCACUUUUUUGAGGGCCUUAGUAGGAAAAAUAAGCAAACCCUUCAUGCGGCCUCUGGAGGAUCUUUCCACCACCUAUCCGCUAGUGAAGCUUGGAAUUUGAUUGAUUUAAUGAGCGGAAAGUCUCCUAGCUUUUAUAUCCCUGAGAAAGAGAAAGAACCAGUUCCUAGACAAGAAGAAGUUUCGAUAGCCAGAUCACAACCACUUCAAUCCCAAACUUUAGCUAUCGAUCCUAAACCAUCAAUACCCCAAAAUUCUCCAAGGGAGGAAGGAAUUCCAACCUUAAAUCUUUUAGAUGCUGAUGGUUUAGACUUCUGGUUCUAUAAGAGACCUUCAAGCAGGGAUAAUUCAAAUCAUUGCAAUAAUGUUUCUCUUAGAGAAUGUCCUGGUUCCUAUCAUGAAGAAGUCGUGGAUGACAUAUCAAGUGAAGGAGAGCUAAGCCAUAUAGACAAUUCUAUCUACUCCCCUUCCAUGUUCACAAGUUCUAAAUCCAUCCUUGACCUUAGAGAUCCCUCUUAUCCCUCUUCUUUUCAGUCUCAUGAUGAUCCUAGCAAUUCACCAAGACGACCAAACCAUAGGAGUCAUGAAGACCAUAAGGAUGGCAUGUCAAGUAAUGCCAUAGAAGGAGAGCUAAGCCAUAUAGAAAAUUCUAACACCUCCCCUAUUUUCAUCACAAGUUCUAAAUGGCUAGAAUGUGUAGAAUGGAUGGAUAAGGAAGAAGCCUUAAUAGGUUCUGACUUUGGCUCAAUUUCAAAUGGUGAGUUCUUGACUCCCUUUGAAGAUGAGAUUCAUCCAACUACAGAAGAGGACAUAGGUGAGACCAAUCCAGGAGAAACUCCGAACAUUCAGAUUAGAGACGAAGAUAACAUUAAUGAGCGUGGAAUUUAUUUCAAAGGCACUUCGUUUACUCCAUGCUCAUAUGCAACAUCUUCCCAAUCUAUUGGUCUCUCCGACAUCACCACACUUGAGAUCUCCAACCCCCUCUUCCUUUCUAGUUAUAAAAACUUUAAAAGGGCAGUUGUCGAUGCAUAUGUCUAUAAUAAAUAUUGCAGAUCUCGUUGAGUUGAUCUAGAUAUAGGUUGGCGUCGGAGGGGAAACCACUUCGCCAACAUAAACUGAUGGUUUCCCAAGGACAAGCUUAGUGUCUUAAAAUAAGCAUUAAUCAGAUCGUAACAUGAGCCUUUAAUUAUUUGCAACAUUACCUUGUGUAUUGAGCAUAUAAGGAUAAUUGUAAAAAAAUAUAUAUUCCUUCGGGUAUUCUUGUCACUAACCUUUCUAAGAUUGGAGCAAGAAGAUCGGAUGAAUGACAAGCACAAGGUAUGUCCAACCAAUCAUCAUACAACAUUGAAUUAAAUUCAUCCAAACUUGAAUUUUGCAAAAUUCAAGCUUGGGGGAGUACUUUACAUAAAAACAUCCUUUGCCAUGUUGCUAUGCUGGUUGUCCCUACCUUUGAGACAUGCUCAAUUUGUUAAAUACUAAUCACACUACUUCAUCUCCACUUGAGUAGAUCUCUAUAAACGCUGUCAUGCUACCUUUGUCUAUUUACUAGCAAGUGUUGGUUUGGAAGUACUCGCCAUACUUCCAUUGGCAUUUAAAUUAAGCAUGGUGCUUAGGUUAAAUAGCCUUCCUUAAUCUGAUUAGACAUGGAGUCUAGUUUGGUUAUUGAACUAAAAAAAACUGCUUGAGUAGAUAUUGGUAUAUUUUGUCGGACUAACCCUUGCAGAAAAACUUUCAAUAUCAAUUUGGGAAGUCCUGAGAUAAACUCACAUCAGAGACGAAGAGAGUGACACAUGAAGUUUAACAAUUUGCACAAGAAGGACAUAGCUCAUUCAUCAUAGAGAGAUGAUCCAUGGAGGGUGCCACAAACACGACGCACAACCGCUAAGAAAGGAAAGCUUCCACAAGAUGAUACUGUACCAUCACUCUUCGAGCAAGGUAACAUCUUAAGGUACUUGACUAUCUCUUUUAUAAGCUUCUCCUUGGUUCUGGCGUUCAUAUAAAUAAAAGAGACAAACGUGUAUGAUUUACAACUCUAGAUUAACCAACCCAACUGAUUCAACAUGUUCAGUCCUUUAAUCCUUGUUCUUAGUACUACCUCCAUGAUCCCACACUCCUAAUCAUAUGAGCUAAAAUGUUACACAUUCAAUCAUUGAGAGAUAUAAAGAAAAAGACAUAUACAUAGAUAGAUUAUCUUUCCGUAAGGUUGAGCGAUCUGAUCUGACAAAUGUUAUAAGUGCUACACUCAUGAACUUAUCAUCCAUCAACUUGUCUUGCUCACUAUGCUUAAGGUUAGAGAAGAACAAAUACACUUUUGGUUCUGUUGGUGUUUUCCACCAGCAGGGCCCAUGCACUUGAUCUCUGCCUUGCCUCUAUGAGCAGGUACACUACGAGCACAAACACACUGAGCAAGAUACUGCUAACACCGCACUUCGAACUGCUGGGCAAACGAAGAAUAUGGGUGACACCGUAUUAAAAGGUGCAGACGUCAAGGUCCGCACCUGAAUCAAAUGACGCACCUGAAGAAUGAACACGAUGAGAUGUCUUGACAAGAAGACUUAAAACAUUGAACCCUCGCCGAAAGGUAAGAUUGGUAGUUAUCCAUAUUUAUCCUUUCUGCAUUCCCUUUUCCAUUUAAUUAUUUACUUUCCUUAAAUAGAUUAUUAGUUAAUCAUGCUAUCUUGAAAAAAAAUAAAAAUGUUAAAAAAUACUAAGCCCCAUGUGAGUAUACGAGUGACAUAAAACCCAUAAGUACCUUCACUGUGGUGGCAUAAAAAUAAAAUAAAUAUUUCUUUUCUACUUUAUAAAAUAAAAAUAUAAAAACAGGGAGUAAUAUUUAUUGAGGAAGCUCAACGUGAUGAAGGCUAGAUAUUUAUGCUAACACUUAAUUAGUUCCACAAGCUUUGUUGUCUAUUUGAGCUCCACAGAAUUUAAAAAUCAAGAAGACUAGCAGACGGAGGACAUUCUAAUCGCUGUUAGAAUGCUGCUGACUUUCAAAUACACCUCUGCCACCUGCUAGCUACAUCAAGAGAAAUUACGUCAAAAUUCAGCUUGGGGGAGAGCACCCCCAUUUAUCUCGCUAAGUAUUUCUACCUAUCUUUAUACUUAUAUUAUAUUAGAAUAUUAAAAUACAUAAACUAUGAAAAACCAAAUAAAGAUUUUGUGCUUAUAUAUAUAUCUUUUGCUUAGUGUGUUUAAUAAAUAAAUAAAGUGGCUAUGCUAAUCUGAAUCUUAAUAAUAAAACUCUAGCAUGGACAUGAUGAAUAGUUGCUCUGCCUAAUUUGUAAAUUUGAAGUUCUCUCUCAAGUUUAGACAUAACUGUUAUAAUUUAAAGCUUGCUCUAGAUCUAAACUUGUGGGAUGAAAACUUGAUCUGAAAUCUAAGUUGUUAACGGAUAUGAUAUGGGAAGGUUGAGCUGCUGUUUAUCUAUUCCUAAAGAUGCUAGAAUUCUGGAGAAUUUUAUCUUUGAAAAAUCUUUAAAAUAUUGCAUGAUGAGUUCCUGUAUGAUGAAAGUUUAAAUUCCUACCACAGCCAUAUAUACAUGCUUGCUAGACUUUGAGCCACACAUUUAUUAUUUACUGCUUAUGAGCAUUGAGUGUGGUCAAGCUGUGUAGACCCUUAGGAGCUUGUCAUGUGGUUAAAUCAAGAUUCACUUGCACGUUCACUCAUAUAUAUGCUACUUCUACUCCGGAUGUACCAUCCACAUAUAUCCAUCCAUUUCCAUCUCCAGAAUCACCUAAAAAUAUUCUACUCCUAAUUCGGGAGAGAAUAGCCAAAAACAUCUGUGUUUUUCCCUUGUGAAAUAAAUGCUCAAGUUAUCUUGCUACUACCACUUGCUAUAUUAUCUUAAGAGAUGAGUGCUCUGAAAAAAAAGAAGAAAAAAAAGAGAAAAGAAAAAAAAAUAAAUGAGGAAAUAAAAAGGGGCAAGUGCCCGGAACCUCGAAAGAAAAGAAAAAGAGUGAGACGAGAGGUAAAAAUGGACAAGUGUCCGACAGUAGAAUUAGGGGUACAGGAUACCCAUCUGAGAGAAAAGAAAAAGAAGAGCAUCUCAUUCUCCUCAUAAAGUUUCAAAAAAAGCAUAGAAGGUAUGUGUCCCCUCAAAAGAGCAAAAGUAGAAUUAGACUUUCACCAUUGUUAUCACCAUCAUCACCAUACACUAUUCAUUCGCCACACAUGCACAUCUUGAUUUGGCUUAUUGAUUUGUUUCUUUGGAUCCAUGGUUUGACUAUACAAUAAAUGUCUUGUAAGUAUGUAUAUUUUAUCUCCCACCUAUGAGCUCCAGAUAUUAAAGCCUUAUUAGAGUAGGGUGAGAGAGAAGACAAUGUCACAAUCCCUUAUACCACAAAUACCACAUAUUUUGAGAGAAGGCAUAUACCAUCACUGCCUUGGUAAAGAUCCAGAAAUACCACAAAAGAGAGAUAUGAGAGAGUCAUACAAAGGAAUCUCUGAGUUUUAUUUGGAAAUCUGCAAAAACUCCAGAGUUAUAGCUGAUCAAGAAUAAGCGACAUGGCACUUGACUGGACUGUUCUAUCUUUUAACCACUCAAGACAAAAGUGACGGUUACAAGUCCCAUGGUGAAAGGUAAAGUAAGUAAGUUUUAAGUCUUGACAGUUUACUCUAACUCAGAGAUGAGACCUCAUUUAAAAGCAUGUGUACCGUCAAUUUUUAAAGAUAUUGCAACAACUUAUGAUCCAUAGCUGAGUCUAUCCUUGCUCAGGGAUGAGCAAGAGGUAAGCUUGGGGGAGUUUGUUGACGGUUCUUAAGUAUCAAAUUUAACUAUCAAAUAAACAAAGAAAAGGAUCCAAAUGAAAUCAACAUCGAGACUUAGGGUUUUAUCUGACAGAAUUCCACGAGUUUUGGUGUUUGUCUAUUUCUGCAUGGGGUUAUCAGGAAAUAAGGAAGAAAGGCCCACACGUCGGGAUUACAUAGAGAUAUCAACGUACCGCACAAUUAUCUUACAUCUAGAAGACUCCAGAAGCCACGGGAAGGAAGCGGAGACCGAACGGAGUCAGGGACAGGGCGCCCGCCCAAGUCCUUAGGGCGCCCGCCCACCUUUUUCGGCCCAUCACGCUCAAUCUCGCGGAUUAUGCUCCACCGACCUAAAGGAUCAAGAAUAACCGUUCAAUCAAUGUCGGUUUGAUCCGACGGCCUAGGUUCACUUGAGGGGACUAUAAAACCAGACCCCCUGGCCCCUGGAGGAGGCACCCCCUUGAUCAUUAUUCAUUAUUCAUAGACAGAGCAAAAGCUAGGGUUUAGAGAUGAGAGCUCUCCUCUCUUCUCUAAACUAGAGUAGAUCUAGAUAGUAGCGAGAUGGAGAGCGAAGGAGGAUUAGAGGAGAGGCCGGCCUGUCGGUUCUUCCUCCGGUUGUACUUCGCCAUGAUCAAGCUCUAAUCAAGCUUGCUCAUGGGAUGACUCUGGUAAUCUACUUCUAAUUCAUUAUGCAAUUACUAAUCAUGUAUGUUCUGGUUCACAACUCUUUUGAGUACUUCUAAUCUAUAGGACCCUAUAGGUUAGAGUUGUAGUAUAGGUGUAAGCGUGGUGCUUAGACCUAGAUUACUUGUGGAUAUCCCCUGACUAGCUGGAUCGUGUGGUAGGCCGCGUAGGUGACAGUUACGUUGGUCCCCUGUAGUCCACCUCUCGUUAGCAGGACGGGUAGGGUUUAUCGGCCUAUGGAUAAGCAUCCUUUGUGGUGUACUCUUAUCACAUGGUUUGUCCCAGACAUAGACAUACCCCUUUGAAGUAGAGAAACCAUAGUUAUCCUCUCUAUUCUACUACCAUCGCCCAUAUACUAGAAUUGCUCUACUCUCUAUUCCCAUAUUAUCACUCACUGUUAUCUUACCUUUAAUAUUGUUCUUAUUCGAUUCUACCAUCUUUCCUAUUCACACCUAUUUACUUAUCUUGGUUAAGUUAGAGCGUAGAUCAGUUCUCCCGUUUCCCUGUGGAUACGAUAAAACCUUUAACCGGGUAAAAGCUUCAACGGUAUCCGUGCGCUUGCGGAUUAUCUGUGUGCGUAUAAAUACCAUAGUACACUCUAGUGCCACGCUGGGGAUGACAACCUAGUAUUCAAGUGGUGUUAGCAAGUGUCAACAGCUGUUCCGCUACUAUGGGAAAUGAAAUUUCAAGGAAAACAAUGACACUUCAGUUGUCGGAAUGCACCAGUGUAGCUGAAAGUAAGAACUGAUCAACAGAAAAUAUGGCAACAACUUAAUGAUCAUGCUCAGUAAUUCAAAUGCCAACACCUGAAUUAAGUAGGCAAAAAAGGCAAUGAUAUUGAGUGGGAACAGCAGGCAGUCAAGGUGUCAUGGGCAGGCUGCCAGGGCCGACGGACUGAUAGUUCGGCCCAGUUAUCUUUAUAAGUUUAAUUAUCUUUGGAUUUGCAAUUUAUAUUAGUCCUAGAUGGGUUAGUAGCAAAAGAGGUGAAGUAGAAGGGACAUAAAUAUCUGUAGACUCUAUUGAUAUAAUCAAACAAUGAAUUAUGAAGAAACAAUUCUAGUCUCCCUCAAUCUCUCAAGCUCUUGGCAAAGCAAAGGCCUAGUUAUCUAUCUAAAAUACCCACCUCGUUCAUAACAUCUGGUAUCCAGAGUCAGCCGAUCCUCUCCAUCUUCACCGAACUGCAACUCUCCACCCGAUCCAUCCACCACCAAGGCGCCGCGCCGUCGUUCCGCCCACCCGCCGCCACUACCAACCGCUAUUCCGCCCACCCGCCGCCACCUCCAGCCACCGCGCUGCCGCCCUGCAGUCAACAUUUUGUUGGGCCCUCAGUCGCCGUUCCACCUCCCAGCGCCGCCACCCCAUCGUGUCCAGCCGCCGCGCCACCAUCACGCGCCGCCUCCAUGGGAGACGCCUCUGACCUGAACGCGUCCCUGGAGGCCCUCAACAAGGCCGUCGCCGCCCUGCAGGCCACGGUCGAGGCCAAAGCUUAGGCCAUCGCCAACUUCACCAACGCCUGCACCUCUCCACCGGGCACCAAGCCGGGCUCCGGUGAGCACCUCCAUGAUUGGCCGCCCCAACACUGACGGUCUCAUUUUCCGCGUUAUAAUGGCAAGACCGACCCGCUCGUGUUCAUCAAUCGAUGUGAGUCGUUCUUUCUUCAUCAGCGGAUCAUGGAAGAGGAGAAGGUCUGGAUGGCCAGCCGCCAUCUAGAGGUGAGCGCUAAGGUGUGGUAUACCCAAGUCCAGCAACACGAAGGUACGCCACGAUGGCGCAGAUUCUCGGAGCUGCUCCAACUGCAUUUUGAGCCGCCCCUUAGUACCAUCGCUCUCGAUGCGUUCAUAGUCUCCAACAGCACGGGUUCCGUGGUCGACUCUCCUGAUCACUUUGCAGCAUUGCUUCCACACGAAAGCAUUCUGUUAGAGCUGCAGCCAGCAGAGGCCACCACAGUGGUCAGCCUUCCAACCAUGGGCCAAGGCGACAAGUUGCUGCCUACCUCGGUCCCACAUGCUGGGCCUCUAACUCCCACAAGCAGGUGGGUGCUACCUCCUUCCGUCAUCAACAUGGCCAAGAAACAAGCAGCGGUGCGACUACAAGCAGCGGUGCGAGGUUUUCUUGUCCGUCGUAUGGUGCGGAAGAUGCGUAUGCUCCUCUGCUCAUCCCUGUCGUGCGUGUUCAUCCACUCGGCCUCACUGACACGUCCUGCUGCUCCAAUUGAAGUGGAGGUCCAAGUAUGGGCACUUCCAGUACAGCAAACAAGCAGCACCCUCCAACAUCAGGCAUCAAUGGCUAUGGCUGUGUCAUUCAUCCUUGUUCCUGUCGUGGUGCUUCGCAAAUCCAACGUAAGAGCAGGUUGUUUCACGCUCCACCCUUCUGCUCCAAUGAAGCCAGCGGAGACGCUCUUCCCAUGGGAUCCAUGACGUUCUUGGCACCUUCCUCGACCACUAUCACUGUGCUCGAGGACGAUCUGGUCCUCAAGGGAGGGGGAGAUGUCAUGGGCGGACAACAGACUGCUAGGGCCGACGGACUGAUAGUUCAGCCCAGUUAUCUUUAUAAGUUUAAUUAUCUUUGGAUUUGCAAUUUAUAUUAGUCCCAGAUAGGUUAUUGAGCAAAAGAGGUGAAGUAGAGGGGACAUAGAUAGAUAUCUGUAGACUCUAUUGUUAUAAUCAAGCAAUGAAUUAUGAAGAAACAAUUCUAGUCUCUCUCAAUCUCUCAAGCUCUUGGCAAAGCAUAAGACCUAGUUAUCUAUCCAAAAUACCCACCUCGUUCAUAACAUCUGGUACUCCAUAACAUAAGGUUCGAAAUGUUGACACCUGAAUUCAAGCCAUCCUACAAGGGAGAGGCACUUAAUUAAGCACCAUGCACAGGGAAAAAUAAUGCUCGAGAAUAAAUGCAUGGAACAUUUGUGUCCUAAGAAUUCACCACUCAUUUGAACUUUCUUGGAGAUUGUUUCGCUUGUUGCAUUAUAGUAGACUACUAUUAUUAAUAUGAGACACAUGAAACUGAACCGGGAUGUCUUUCAGUUCCAGUUUUUGUGUGCAAGUUACCAGUUGUGCACUUGUGUAGGUGAUGUCUAUUUUUGUUUUUUUGUGUUAGACGUAUAAAUUAUUUGGAGAUUCAGUAUACACCUAGAUUAGUUAGCUGUUAGGUAGAGCGGUGUAUUGUGCAUAACUGAAUUUCAUAAUGUUCUAUGGAGGAAGGGUUACUAAUUCUUUAGGGAAAUUUGUUUUGAGGACAUGCUAUUUGAUUCAAUCACAAUGUAAACACUUUGCUUUCAUUUGCUUUGUACCCUGGUUAUUCUUUCUGUAUUUUGCACUGUCAGUGGCAACAACAAUCUGCCAAUGGAGCUUCAGCUAAGGUGAUUGAUCAUUGUCAUAUGCUAUAACAAAGUCAAAUGCAUAUUCAUUGCCAUCUAUGUCAUUGUUUAUCGAUCUACUAUGACUCAAGUAGUGUGCCACUACAUUAGUCGUAAUUUAUUUUAGCUCUUCUUUUUAAUACAACCAAUAUGCUACAAAUGCUUUUCAUUCUCUCAGUGUAGCAGGAAAUAGUGGUAAUAUCCAUUUGGCAUGCCAUCGUAGCAUAUUUUCUGAUCGGCUGAUUAGCUUCAAUUUUAGUGUUUCCCCCAUGCUUAAAUUUGGAGGCACAGAUGAUUAUCAUCUAAGCGUACCAUGAAUGUAUCGCACCUUGACUUUUGUCAAAUAUUUGAAGAUUAACUAAACUGUCAAUGCAUUUUCCUUGACUAUUGUUUGAACUAGGAAAAAUAUUUAAGGAUUGUCAGUGCAUUAUGGAAACAACAUAAGAUUACCCCACAUUUAUUUCAAUGCUUUAUUGUGCUCCAAAUGAUAGUUGUAAAUGAUGCUGUGGCGUUAACACAGGCACUAUACUAGUACUAGGCUAAUAAUGUUUUUGCUUGCUUGCAGGUUGGAGUUUUCGGCACAGCUGGUUACUAGCAGGCUGCAGCUGCCUGGAAUUUUUUUUGUGUUGGUUGCUGUCAGGCUAGAAUUUUUGGCUCUGGCUGAUUGGUUUGGUGCAGGAACUUGGCGCUAGGUGCUAGAGCUAGUUUUAAUUGAGUGGAACUUAUUUAGUUGGUUGCUGUGAGCAUAUUGUCCGUACUGUACAGGAGGUUAUUGUAAUAUAAUGAUCAAGUGCUUCAUUAAAUAUCAAAUUAGCCUAGGAUGAUUCAUUUGUAUCAAUUCACCCUUUAGAUUUCGUUGAAACAAUGUAGUGUCAGAAAAUUUUUAGUAUUUCAGUACUACUUGUGUCAUGUAAUUUUAUACUGAAUGGUCCGAUCAUGUUUGACGGAUGAUAAAUGCAUAACUAUUAUUGAUCCUGUAUUAACUAUUAUGAUCCUGUAUUAUAUUGUUUUAAAUUGUUGGUGGUCCAACUAAAUGAGUGUGGUAGAAUAAAUAAUGGCAAUAGCUACAAAAAUAUGGAAGUAACAUCAUUCGAGGCAAAAGAUAAUUUAUCCUAUCAUAACCUAGAUUUUUUGAUGUCACAAAGGAGUGUGCCAAUAUAGGGAGCUACACACGUUGCAACCAACUAUUAUGGUGGCAAUACUGUUAUCCACCUCUAGCAACCAAACAAACCAGGUGGGAAUAUAGGACACCACCUAUUACACCGAAACAUAAACCGUGGUAAAAGAGGAAACCACAUAUAGCACCCAAAGCACUUUGGUGGCAAUAGAGGAUAACGCUUAUAGCACCCACAAGCACAAGGUGGCAAUAGAGGAGCUUCCCCUAUAGCAACCACAACUAGAGCAUAGCAAUACAAUGCUUUGCAAUGUCACAUUUUACACAUUGCAAUGCUUUGUGUAGGAUGCAAUUGAAACCUCUGGCAUCACCUGAUAUGUUGCAAUAGGAUACAUUGCAACCAACUCAAGCGUGCCCUUAGAUGCUUGUUUCAACGCCUCACUGUGUUGCAAUACCAAAAUUAUUGCAACGUCAAAAAUACAUUCGAGGUUGAAGGCUAAUACCACCAGGUUUUAAGCAACAUUCAUUUACGAAAUCUUGUCUUAUAGUCAUAUCUCGUGAACAAAUUUGCCAUGGAAUAUCUAUUGUUCAUAAUUGAUCAACGUCCAUAUUGACUACCAACUUUUUGACUUACAACUCAAAGACACGAUAACUUAGCGUGGAUUUGCCUCCACAGGUAGGAGUGGACCACCCUGAUACUCAAUACUUUUCUCUGAUUGUGCGGUUAAGAAAAUUUUCCAUUGGAUAGCAUAGAUCACUCCUUUAUGUGCACACAACCAUCCAUUGCCAGGAACCACAAGGAUAUCAAGUGACUCUAGCACAAUGAGAUUUACAGUGAAGUUUUCCUUGCUUAUGACAAGAUUGAUAUUUGAGCGAACCUGAUCUGCCUGUAUCUCUGCCAAUGGGGUUUGAACUAACAAAGGCUUCCUUGUUGGACACUUCACCCGCUCAAUCGUCUUUACCAAGUCGGCAGAAAUAAAAGAAUGUGAAGCACUCGAGUCAAAUAGAGCAAAAACUAGCACUUUCGUUGCACCUUACUUCCAUGAGUAGGCUUAUUACGGCUUUUCCUUUUUCGCUUCUGUCAUUGUGGAUUCUGAUUAUAUUCAUUUCCAACUUGCUCUUCAAUAUUGUUAUUUUGAUAAUACUCAGCUUUAUCAUACUCAUAACAUGCUUCAAAGGCAAGGUGAUCAUGCUCUUCUCACGUAUCUAUGAGAGGCGUCAUAUUGGGCUCCUGAUGCAUGGGAUACUACACUCCCUAUCAUCAAGUGACCAACGUCAGUAACACGGCAAGGAUAGAUGAUCAUAACCAUAGAAUAUCUUAAGAGACAACUCUCACUUCAAGAUAAAUUAAAAAUGCAUCAUCCCGUGAUAUCAAGAUAUUGCCCCCUUGAUGACGUUGUUUGGGGGACACUAGGGACUAGUCCUCAUAACCUUUUUUAAAUGCUACACAUCAUAUAGUCUUUUAAAUUCACUAUACCGAGUCUCUUGAUCCAAGGUUGGCUUCAUCACUGAGUUCUAACUAUUAGUACCUUUAUCACAGUUAAGUUGCUUCACUCUCACAUCCCACAUAUAACUUCAUAAUCUUUGGUGUCAUCUGAUCCUCAUAAGCAUAACUCUCAAUCUAUGAGUAUCGGCCACGUAUACCUCCAUUGAUAUUCCCAAGUAGGAUGAUAUCUUGAAACAAAACCAAAUUUACUAAACACUUGUGAUCCUUACCUAUGAUCCAACAUUAUCUAAUACUUCUCCUUAUAACUCUCUUAACUAGGCUACCCCCCUUAAGAAAGGGUCAACUAGGGACACAAAAAGAGUAGCUUGCCACUUUUUCCAGACAAGUUAACUAACACUGGAAUCUACCGGCAUCCCAAAGAAACUAUGCGCAAGGGAAGAAACAAGUAUUCUGAAAUUUCCUCACGAUGUGGAAAAUACCAGCACAGUAAAACACAUCUAACUCCUGUUCUGUUGAUCCAAUAGGAUCAUAGCUUAUAACAUUAGAAAACUUAUGAAAUUCCCUACAUCUUUCAUAUAGAAGACUUCCUUAGGUUCUAUCUUUAAACUUAGGUAAAACAGCCAAACAUAAUAUCCAUCCUGACAAUGUCUCAGCACAAAUGUAGUAACUUGUAGCAGUCAUAUCUUGAGCUACAUAACUCAUAGGUUGACAAUCCUUAUAUUAUUUAAAAGCUUAUAAAAUCCUCUACAACUUUCGUAUACAACGUUUUCCCAGAUUCUGACUUUGACUUGGCUGAAAAUAGGAAAUACUAGGCCUGUCCAGAUUUUUAAGCAGAACAGAAACAUCCAAUUGUAAAUAUCAUAUCUCGGGUUCUACUUAUCCAAUAAAGUUCCAGCUUAUACCGUUGGAAAGCUUAGAAAAUUGUAUAUGACCUUUCUAUAGAAAACUUUUCCAAAUUCUAAAGUUAUAUUUGUCUUAAAAUAGUAUACGACCGAAACUGGUACAAGUUCUUGACAGCACAAUUGUAUCACCUUGUGAUUUUCAUAACUCCAAUACCAAAAUAGCUAUGGGGUUGAUUCUUGCGGUCAGAGAACAAUCGUAAAGUCUUCCAUCAUCCAAAAUUUUUCCAUGAUUUUUGGUCAUCCAAGAACAUAGAUAUAAACCGAUAAAGAUGAGAUUGUCCGGAAAGGCAGGAUAAGAAAACAACAGAAAACCAAAACCCAACUAUUUAUUUCAUUAAUCCUUAUACCUUAGUCCUAUAAACUAAAUGAAAUUAUAGAGUAAAUCCACAAGAUCAUUGCACUCAUUACAAAGAUCCAAAUCAAACAUAGGUAUAAUGAUAAACCGACUAAGCACUAAAGGUUCACACUUCACUCAACUUGCGAUGCUAUUGUUCUCUUCAUAGUAAGGGUAAAGAUCCUAAAACUUCUGUUUCAAAACACAAGAAGAGGUAAGGGAAGGUUCUAAAAGCAUACCAAAUCAAGGAGUGAAGAUGAGAACAAGGAUUUUUAAAAUAAGCAACAAGGUAGAGACAAAUAGCAAGGGUAGAGAUAUAGUAUGGAUGAAAAUACCAAGGUUUAUAGAGCAAGAGUGUUAUAACAAUUUCAAAACCUUAAGACAGCCAAUUUAUAACUAGGCUUGCAUCCUAUAGUCAGCAUUGCUUUGAUACCACUUUGUAAUACCCGAUUUUAAGGACAAAAUUAGAUAUACACCAUAUAUGAGUUUUAGAUGUCAAAUCUCAAAUAUAGCUACGAAUAAGGGGUAAUAUCAAAAGACAAUGCAUAAAUUAUGUAACGUACAUAAAAAAUUAGAGAUAACCUUAGGCAGCAAACAACGAAAGAUAACUCUAACUUCGGGUAUUAACUCCACUAUACAGGAUCCAACUGACUGGUUGAUCACAAGCCUCACACUCCUCCUAAAGUAUGCGGGAAAUAGCAAGUGUGAGCCCAUGUCGAACUCCACAAGUAUAGCAACUAGAUUAUAUAGAUCCCACAAUCUCAUGAUCAAUGUGACAUAAAUAAUGUAAAGCAUUAAACAAUAAUUAUGAGCAUAUUAACACAACAAGAAUCAUCACCCUUAAUGUAGAUGUCCCCAAGGUCGCUCCUAACCGUGAGCUCGGCUAAUAUACCAGUUUAAUAAACACUAUGCAGAUGUCGUACAUCUUUACCUAUAAGUCAUGAUUUACCCUUUCGCCCGAGGUGAUCAGCCUCUUAACCCACUACCAAGGAAGGUCGGCAGGGAUCACUAUGAAGUCUUUCAAAGGUUCGUCUAACAAGUUAGGGCCGCUUGGUUUCAUUAGUCAGUCUGUGUGAUUCUACCACGCAGGGAUCCACGGUCUGCUAUCCCCCAUUUGCGCCUCACGGGUAACCGCUAACGAGCUAGAAAAGUUACUCAUACUUGACCAGAGCCAUUAUAGCCCUCAUGGUUGCACUUCAAUCCCGAUUAUCACUUAUAGACAAAUCCUCAAGUUGCUAAGAAGUCAUUUUUAUCAUUUGAUGCUUAAACAUUAAUCAAGUCACAAGUUCAUGGUCAUAGAAAUAAAACUCAAAUGCUAUACUUGCCUUUAUCCAAGUGCGCCUGCUAAUCUUGCUAGUUGUCUAAGUACUGAUCUUGAUCACUGAAGCACUCUUGAUCACCACGAAUUAUUCACCGAAGUACUGCUCACCAUUUAUUCUCGAUCAUCGAUCAUUAACACACAAACAAUCGGGUCCAAAUAUACACGAAGCAAACAAAGCUAUAAUUAGAAUAGUACACCAAUAAUAUAAAAACAGUAUAAAAAGUUUAUAAAAUGAUUCUACGCAGCACUACGAUCACACGGACGUAAUGAUCGCAAAAAUCAGAGCUAAAACGGAGAAGUUAUAAAUUUUCUAAGAUUUUCUUUAGAAAAGAAAUUAAUUAAAUAGGGUCACAAAAUUAAAAAGUUUUAAACUGGUGAAUUAAUGUUACUAACAUGUAGAUCUUGUGAUUAUGAAUCUAACACAAUUUGAAUGGGUCAAAUCGGAGUUAAAAUGAAUAUUUUAUGGCUAAAACAAACUCAAUGGCAAUUUUGUAAAUAUAGAAAACAUAUUUUGAAAUAAACCGGCAGGCUUUAUGUUUUAAAAAACAGAAGGCCUAUUUACUACUCUAUGCUUUGGACAACGGGUUCUAAACUCCAAAACCGCAGGGGUUCUUUAACAAUUUUGCCAGUCGAAGAGGUAUCUUGAAAUCUCGGACAUUGGAUUAAAGGAGAACGGCUCGGAUUUGGUUGAGAGGAGGAGAAAGUGACUGCCAGCCGGCUACAGUACUUUGGCGGUGGCUUCACCAAAUGACGUUUCUGGCCUCUGUUUCACUCGGGAAUUGCCUAGGAACAGAGGGAAACUCAAGGCAGUCUCACCUAGGGGCUUCACGGGGCUGGGGCUAGCUCGUGGGUGGCGCGUGUCAUGGUUCGGAGGACGAUGAACUCCUACAAGGGAUCGACAUCGUGGGUAGAGCGAGUUAGGGCUCGAAAUCAAGGAUGAAAAGACCCAGAGAAUGCUCGAUCUCACUGCGAAGCUCGACAAAGAACUUAUGCGGGCAAAACACAACCGGAGGGCAACAAAGAUCAGCAAUGGGAAUGGCGGCUUGUUCCUAUGUUCAACGAGAUCCAAAUUCACACAGACGCCGGAGCUAGGGCAACAACAAGAGAUAGAUGGGAGAAAACAGAAUGCGGAGGAGAUGCCUGGGGUUUUUAGGAGCAAUGGAGAUCUUCUACGGGCGAAUCGUGUGGAAAUCGGGAAGGAAAGGCACGGCUUCCCUGGACAGAGACCUACCUAGCCACGAUGCGAGGAAGGAGAUGAGGGAGUCACUGUCAAGCGGGCCCCAGACAUCAGCCGAACAGAAACAAAAGGAGGACGCGCCGGAGCGGGCCUUGGCCUGUUGUGAAGUGGGUCGUGCGUUGCUGGGCUGAGCUGAGUGUUGGGCCAAGCGAGAGAAAAAAGGGAAAACGGCCCAAGGGAGAGGUUUGGGGCCUUCGAGCCAAAAUAGCUGGGAGAGCUCUGUUUAUUGUUUUUUCUUUUUCUUUUCUCUCAGGUGGGUAUCUUGUAUCCCUAAUUCUACUGUCGGACACUUGUCCAUUUUUACCUCUCGUCUCACUUUUUCUUUUCUUCGAGGUUCUGGGCACUUGCCCCUUUUUAUUUCCUCGUAUUCACUUUUUUUCAGAGCACUCACCCUCCUGGAAUAAUGUAGCAAGUGGUAGUAACCAAAAUAUCUCGAGCAUUUAUUUCACGGGGAAUAACAGGGAUAGGAUAAUGUUUUUGGCUAUUCUCUCCUGGAUAGGGGUAGAAUAAUUUUGGAUGAAUCUGGAGAUGGAAAUGAGUGGAUGUAUCUGGAUGCGUACUUCUAGAGUAGAAGCAGCAUGUAUAGUGAACGUGCAAGUGAAUCUUGAUUUUAACCACAUGACAACCAAACUCAAUGCUCAUAAGUAGUAAAAAGUAAAUGUAUGGUUCAUAGUCUAAUAAGCAUGUAUAUGUGUCUGUGGUAGGAUUUUAAACUCUCAUCGUACAGGAACUCAUUAUGCAACAUUUUAAAGAUUUUCAUAGAUAAAAUUCUCCAGAAUUCUAGCAUCUCUAGGAAUAGAUAAACAGCAGCUCAACCUUCCCAUAUCAUAUCCGUUAACGACUUAGGCUUUAGAUCAAGUACUCUUCCCACAAGCUCAGGUUUAGAGCAAAUCUUAAUUCAUAACAGUCAUGCCUAAACUUGAGAGAGAAUUCAAUUUUGAGAACUAGUCAUGGC